GAAGGCCGCGUGCAGGGGGCUGCGCGCCGGGGCAGGGGCCGCGCCGGGGGCAGGGGAGGCCGCGCCGGGGGGCCGAGCCGCACCGGGGGCAAGGCCGCCGCGCCGGGGAGCGAGCAAGGGGCGGGCGGACCACGCCGGGGCCGGGGGCGCCGCCGCGGGGAGGGGCAGGGGCGGGCACCGCGCCGGGGGCCAAGGCGGGGGCGGGCGCCGCCGCGCAGGGGCCGGGACGGGGGCGGGCGCCGCCGCGUAGGGGGGCGGGGGCGGGCGCCACCGCGUAGGGGGAGGGGCAGGGGCGGGCACCGCGCCGGGGCCAAGGCGGGGGCGAGCGCCGCCGUGCAGGAGGCGGGCGCCGCCGCGCAGGGGGGCCGAGGUGGGGGCGGGCGCCGCCGCGCAGAGGGAGGGGCAGGGGCGGGCACCGCGCUGGGGCCAAGGCGGGGGCGGGUGCCGUCACGCAGGGGCCGGGACGGGGCGGGCGCCGCCGCGCAGGGGGCCAGGGCGGGAUCGCGCCGGGGCCGAGGAGGGAGGGGCGGGAGCGGGCGCCGCCGGGGCAGGCCACCGCGCGCAGGGGCGAGCAGGGCGAGCGCCACCAUGGGCAGGGGCACGCGCGCAGGGGAGAGAGGGAGGGCGCGCGCAGGGAAGAGAAGGGGAGGGAGAGGGGAAGGGAAUGGGAGGGGAGCUCACCUCGGGAUCCAACUCCGGCGAUCACCGUCUCCAAAACCUAGGGCAUCGCGGGGGGAGAGAGGUGGGAGAGGGAGAGGGAGGUUGCUACGCGGGAAAUCCAAAUGAGAGAGUGAGAGGAGGAGGGGCACAUGGGGAGGUGUGGGGCGCCGGGGGCGUGUGGGCCGGGCUGAGCUGGUUUGGGCCGGGCCACUUCGCGGAUCGAAACCCACGACACGCACGACUAUCAAACAAACUACAAUCGCGAACCAAAAACCGAGACGGAACGAGACGAACACGCAACAUCAGACAAAGAAAUGCGCUUCGGCAUGAUGCAACACCCAUGACACUUAGGUUUUGGUUUAUACAUGACACGGACACCUGUCACUAUACUGGUUUGAAAUUGGGAAGAAAGAGCAAAACAGGAAGAGAAAAGAGAGUAACGCCCGAAUUUGGUGAGAGAAAAGAAGAAAAAUUUCUACCCCCAAAUUCAGGGCAUUACACCCCCCCUCCCCUAUUGGCCAUCUUGAUCUUUUCACUAAUUGAAAGGGAAAUGUGCCCUUGGGCCAUUUCUAAGUAUUUUGGUGAUCAAGUGCCAACACAAAUGUGAAACUAUGCCAAAUGGUGGAUGAAGUGAAAAUCAACACAAAGGUAUGAUUCUAGACUUAGUACAUUGGUUUUUGUGUACUAACAUAUUUGUCUAAGUGCUAGAAUCAGAGAAAAUACAAUUGGAAAAGACUUGGCUCGAGCAGCCAAGACUCUGCUCAGUCUGGGUGCACCGAACUGUCCGGUGGUGCACCGGACAGUGUCCAGUGCGCGAGGCUGGCGUCUGGUGAACUGCCUAAUCUCGGGUCUCGACGGCGGCGUACGGAUAUAAAUCACCGGACUGUCCGGUGGUGCACCGGACUGUCCGGUGAGUCGGCUGCGGCGAAGUCGCCGCUCUCGGGAAUCAAGUCAACAGUGUACGGCUAAAAUUCACUGGACUGUCCGGUGGUGCACCGGACUGUCCGGUGAGCCAACGGUCGGUCGCGCCAACGGUCGGCCGCGCAAUCCGGGCGUGACGCGUGGCCGGGCCAACGGUCUGAAUGGGGGCACCGGACACCGGACAGUGUCCGGUGCGCCAACGGCUCCAAAUCGCCAACGGUCGGCUGCACCAAAACAGGAAAGAAAUCUGCACCAGACUGUCCGGUGCACCAGUCGACAGAAUGCAAGAAUUGCCUUCCUGGAAUGCUCUCAACUGCUCCCAGCUGCCUUGGGGCUAUAAAAGGGACCCCUAGGCGCAUGGAGGAAGACACUAAGCAUACUUUGAGCAUUCUUGAUCAUUCACACUUCAUCUUUGCGCACUCGUUUGACAUUCUUAGUAAUUUGAGCUCCGUUAUAGUGAGAACUUUUGUGAUAUUCAUUUGAGCUCAAGUCUUGCCCGUGUGUGUGUGUAUUGCUGUGGACUUGUGUGUGUUUCUCAUCCCAUCCUUACUUCCAUGUUCAUUUGUGAUCAUCUUUUGUAAGGACGAGAGACUCCAAGUUGUGGAGAUUCCUCGCGAACGGGAUAUAAUGAAAGGAAGAGAAACACCGUGGUAUUCAAGUGGAUCUUUGGAUCACUUGAGAGGGGUUGAUUGCAACCCUCGUCCGUUGGGACGCCACAACGUGGAGUAGGCAAGUGUUGAACUUGGCCGAACCACGGGAUAAACCACUGUGCCUAUCUGUGUUGAUAUCUUUGUGGUUAUUGUGUUUUGCAAGAACUCCUCUCUAGCCACUUGGCUUUAACGCUCUAACACUUAAUCAAGUUUGUGGAGUUAAGUUUUUACAGGAUCACCUAUUCACCCCCCCCCCUCUAGGUGCUCUCAAUUGGUAUCGGAGCCGUUCUCUUCAAGAAAGGGACUAAUCGCCCGAAGAGAUGGAUCCUAAGGGAAAGGGGAUGGUGGUCAACGACAAUGAGAAGGAGUCCAUCUUCAACGAGCCAAGAGACGACAAAGUCAAUGACUCCGGCUCGAGUCAAAAGAAGAAAGACGGAAAGAAGAAGAGGCGCAUCAGGAAGGUUGUCUACUACGACAGCGACGAAUCUUCCUCUUCUCAAAAGGACGACGAAUACGAGGAGAAAAAGAAAACGGUUAACUCAAACUUUUCUUUUGAUUACUCUCGUAUUCCGCAUAAUUCCAAUGCUCAUUUGCUUUCUAUUCCACUUGGUAAACCUCCUCACUUUGAUGGAGAGGACUACGGAUUUUGGAGUCACAAAAUGCGUAGUCAUUUGUUCUCUCUUCAUCCAAGUAUAUGGGAGAUAGUAGAAAACGGAAUGCGAUUUGAUAGUUUGGAUAAUUCUAUGUUUAUCAAUGAACAAAUCCAUAAGAAUGCACAAGCUACUACUGUUCUUUUAGCAUCCUUGUGCAGGGAAGAAUACAAUAAGGUGAGCGGCCUGGACAAUGCCAAGCAGAUCUGGGACACCUUCAAGAUCUCACAUGAGGGGAACGACGUCACCAUGCUCACCAAGAUGGAGUUGGUGGAAGGCGAACUAGGAAGGUUCGCGAUGAUCAGGGGGGAGGAGCCAACCCAAACGUACAACAGGCUUAAGACCCUCGUUAACAAAAUAAGGAACUAUGGAAGCACGCGAUGGACGGACCACGACGUCGUCCGACUUAUGCUAAGGUCCUUCACCGUCCUUGAUCCUCAUCUUAUUAACUCUAUUCGUGAGAAUCCUAGGUACAUCAAGAUGACGCCCGAAGAAAUACUUAGGAAGUUUGUGAGCGGGCGAAUGAUGAUCAAGGAGGCGAGAUAUGUUGAUGAGGCGCUAAAUGGCCCAAUCCAUGAACCUCAAGUCAUUGCUCUCAAGGCAACAAGUAGCAGGGAGACGCUACCUAGCAAGGUGGCGCAAAUUGAGGCGGCUGGGCUAAACGAGGAUGAAACGGCCCUCAUCAUCAAGCGCUUCAAGACAGUGCUCAAAGGUCGCAAUGAGCAUCCCAACAAAAGCAAGACAAAGGGAAAACGCUCCUACUUCAAGUGUGGUAAGGUUGGUUAUUUUAUUGCUAAUUGUCCCGAUAAUGACAGUGACCAGGAUCAAGAAAAGAAGAGGGAAAAGAAGAAGACCUACAAGAAGGCUAAGGGCGAGGCACACCUUGGCAAGGAGUGGGACUCGGAUUGUUCAUCGUCCGACUCCGACAACGAAGGGCUCGCCGCCUCGGCCUUCAACAAAUCGUCCCUCUUCCCCAACGAGCAUCACACAUGCCUCAUGGCAAAGGAGAAGAAGGUAAGUACUCGAAAUAAUACUACGUAUGCUUCUUCAAGUGACGAUGAAUCUAGUGAUGAUGAAAUAGACUAUGCAUGUUUAUUCAAAGGAUUAGAUAGAACUAAAAUUGAUAAGAUCAAUGAAUUGGUUGAUGCUUUGAAUGAGAAGAAUAGACUUUUAGAAAAGCAAGAAGAUCUUUUAUAUGAAGAGCAUGAUAAAUUUGUAAGUGCGCAAAAUUCUCUUGCUUUAGAAGUUAAAAGAAAUGAAAUGAUUUCAUGUGAAUUAUCUACGUACCAUGAAUCUAUUUUUAGCUUAAGGAGUAUCAAUGACGACUUGAAUGCUAAGUUAGAAAUAGCUAAUAAAUCAACCUCUUGUAUAGAACAUGUUAUGAUUUGCAAUAGGUGUAAGGACUUUAAUAUUGAUGCUUGUGUUGAGCACCUUACCUCUAUUGCAAAAUUAAAUGGUGAAGUGGCUAGUCUUAAUGCCCAACUUAAGACUAGCAAAAGUGAAUUUGAUAAACUAAAAUUUGCAAGGGAUGCCUACACUAUUGGUAGUGUCGGAGACCAUAAUUAGGGGUACCCUCAAGGCUCCUAAUUCUCAGCUGGUAACCCCCAUCAGCAUAAAGCUGCAAAGGCCUGAUGGGUGCGAUUAAGUCAGGGAUCAGUCCAUACGAGGGACUCGAUCAUGCCUCGCCCGAGCCUAGCCUCGGACAAGGGCAGCCGACCCCGGAGGAUCUCCGUCUCGCCCGAGGCCCCCCUCCAGCGGCGAAGAUGUUCCCGGCUCGCCCGAGGCCCUGUCUUCGCCAAGAAGCAACCCUGACCAAAUCGCCGCACCAACCGACCAAAUCGCAGGAGCAUUUAAUGCAAAGGUGGCCUGACACCUUUAUCCUGACGCGCGCCCCCCAGCCGACAGAGCCAAAGUGACCGCCAUCACUUCGCCGCUCCACUGACCGGCCUGACAGAAAGACAACGCCGCCUGCGCCGCUCUGACUGUGGUGCCACUUGACAGAGUGAGGCUGACAGGCAGUCAGGCCCGGCCGCAGGCACCAUAGGAAGCUCCGCUUCGCCCGACCCAGGGCUCGGACUUGAGCUCAGCCCCGGAAGACGGCGAACUCCGCACCGCCCGACCCAGGGCUCGGACUCGGGCUAAGCCCCAGAAGACGACGAACUCCGCUCCGCCCGACCCAGGGCUCGGACUUGGGCUCAGCCCCAGAAGACGACGAACUCCGCUCCGCCCGACCCCAGGGCUUGGACUACGCCCUGACCUCAGCCGACGGUCUCCGCCUCGCCCGACCCAGGGGCUCGGACUCGACCUCGGCCACGGAAGACAGACUCGACCUCAGCUUCGGAGGAGCUUCCACAUCACCCAACCUAGGGCGCAGACCAGCCACGUCGACAGGAGGUGCCAUCAUCACCCUACCCCGAGCUGACUCGGGCCACGGGGGACAAGACCGGCGUCCCAUCUGGCUCGCUCCGCCAGAUAGGCAAUGAUGGCGCCCCGUAUACUCUGUGACGACGGCGGCUCUCAGCCCCUUUACGGAAGCAAGAGGACGUCAGCAAGGACUCAACAGCUCUGACAGCUGUCCCUCCACCAGGCUCCAUCGCUCCUCUGACGGCCACGACAUCACACCAGCUGGGUGCCAAAAUCUCUCCGGCUGCCACAACGGCAUGUACUUAGGGCGCUAGCUCUCCUCCGCUAGACACGUAGCACUUUGCUGCACCCCCCAUUGUACACCUGGAUCCUCUCCUUACGCCUAUAAAAGGAAGGACCAGGGCCCUCUUAGAGAGGGUUGGCCGCGCGGGGACGAGGACGAGACAGGCGCUCGCGUGAGGCCGCUCGCUCCCUCUCCCGUGUGGACGCUUGUAACCCCUACUGCAAGCGCACCCGACCUGGGCGCGGGACGAACACGAAGGCCGCGGGAUUUCCACCUCUCUCACGCCCAACUUCGGCCACCUCACUUCCCCCCUUCGCGCUCGGCCUCGCGCUCGACCCAUCUGGGCUGGGGCACGCGACGACAUUCACUCGUCGGCUUAGGGACCCCCCGGUCUCGAAACGCCGACAGUUGGCGCGCCAGGUAGGGGCCUGCUGCGUGUUGACGAACAGCUUCCCGUCAAGCUCCAGAUGGGCAGUCUCCAGCGACCUCUACAACCCGGGACGGUGCUCCGUUUCGGGAGUCUUGAGUUCAUGUCCCUUGACGGCAGCUACGACAUGAUACUCAUUCCACCGCCGGGCGGCAGCGGCAACGGCGGCUGACAACCCGCCCGCCGGCGGCGGAAUCGACGACGUCUUCCCCGCGUGGUGGAAGAACAACAUUCGAGCUCGCCCCGUCCUCUCCCCCGCCAACGGAGGAGGAGGCGGGGCAACCAAGGCCAAGCGGGAAGCAGCGCCUCGUCGGCUGUCGAGCGAGUCGACAGCGCCAGCACCCCAAUGGGAGGCGCACCGGGCAUCGACCUCGCGCUUGAGACGAAGACGAGCGUCGUUUCCCGCGAAACGCCAACUCCGGGCAAACGGACGACGCCAGCACGCUCGCGGAAGGCUUGCUGGGUGUCACCCUCGUACCUAAGACGACGGUGCAGUCAGUCCCUGACGCGACUUCAUCACCACCCGUCGACCAAGAGGUACCGACCGAUUCCCAUCCCAUGUCAUUCGGAUUCAGCCUCGACCCGCCUAGCGGCUUUGCUUUGGCGGGUGCUCUCGUAGAAGCGAGUCCAAACCCUCUGGGGUUUCGUAUGCGGUCACCUUGGGACCCGCUGACAAAUGUCUCGACCUACGGGCCCUCUGGGUCCGAGGAAGACGACGAGCCCAGCAUCUGUUGGGAUUUCUCUGGACUUGGCAACCCCAGUGCCAUGCGGGGCUUUAUGACCGCAUGCGACUACUGCCUUUCCGACUGUUCCGACGGUAGCCGUAGCCUCGGCGACGAGGACUGUGGCCCAAGCCGCGAAUGUUUCCACGUCGAUCUAGGGGGUCCCUCCGGAGGCAACCAUCUCGGCAUGCCGGAGGAUGGUGAUCUCCCUAGGCCGGUGCCUCGCGUUGACAUCCCACGGGAGCUAGCUGUGGUCCCCGUUCAGGCGGGGGGCCAUGACCCACAGCUCGAGCAAAUCCGCGGGGUGCAGGCCAGGCUCGACGAGGGAGCAGGAGCGCUUGAGCCGAUCCGCCGGGACGUCGGGCAGGCAUGGGCGGGCCAACCUCCGGCCGGAGAAAUACGUCAUCUACCCCAGGGCUUCCAGCACCGCAUCGCCGACGACGUCAGGGUCAGGCCGCCGCCCGCAUCUAGUGGGGUCGGCCAGAACCUGGCUGCAGCAGCAAUGCUCCUCCGCGCGAUGCCGGAGCCAUCAACCACCGAGGGGCGGCGAAUCCAGGGAGAGCUCAAGAAUCUCCUGGAAGGCACCGCGGUCCGACGGGCCGAGAGCUCCGCCUCCCGAAGGCAGGGGUACCCCUCGGAACCUCAUGCCGCGACAUCCCGAUUUAUGCGGGAAGCCUCGGUCUACACCGGGCGCACGCGCAACACAGCGCCUGCGGCCCCGGGUCGCCUCGGCAACGAGCACCAUCACCGCGACCGUCGGGCCCACCUCGACGAGAGGGUGCGCCGAGGCUACCACCCCAGGCGUGGGGGACGCUACGACAGCGGGGAGGAUCAGAGUCCCUCGCCCGAGCCACCUGGUCCGCAGGCCUUCAGCCGGGCCAUACGACGGGCGCCGUUCCCGACCCGGUUCCGACCCCCGACUACUAUCACAAAGUGCUCGGGGGAGACGAGACCGGAACUGUGGCUCGCGGACUACCGUCUGGCCUGCCAACUGGGUGGAACGGACGAUGACAACCUCAUCAUCCGCUACCUCCCCCUGUUUCUCUCCGACACCGCCCGCGCCUGGUUGGAGCACCUGCCUCCGGGGCAGAUCUCCAACUGGGACGACCUAGUCCAAGCUUUCGCCGACAAUUUCCAGGGCACGUACGUGCGCCCCGUAAAUUCCUGGGACCUCCGAAGCUGCCGACAGCAGCCGGGAGAGACUCUCCGAGACUACAUCCGGCGAUUCUCGAAGCAGCGCACCGAGCUGCCCAACAUCACCGACUCGGAUGUCAUCGGCGCGUUCAUCGCUGGCACCACUUGCCGCGACCUGGUGAGCAAGCUGGGUCGCGAGACCCCCACCAGGGCAAGCGAGCUGAUGGACAUCGCCACCAAGUUCGCCUCCGGCCAGGAGGCGGUCGAGGCUAUCUUCCGGAAGGACAAGCAGCCCCAGGGCCGCCCUUCGGAAGAUGCCCCUGAGGCAUCAACUCAGCGCGGCGCCAAGAAGAAGGGCAAGAAGAAGUCGCAAGCGAAACGCGACGCCGCCGACGCAGACCUUGUCGCCGCCGCCGAGUACAAGAACCCUCAGAAACCCCCCGGAGGUGCCAACCUCUUCGACAAGAUGCUCAAGGAGUCGUGCCCCUACCACCAGGGGCCCGUCAAGCACACCCUUGAGGAGUGCGUCAUGCUUCGGCGCCACUUCCACAGGGCCGGGCCACCCGCGGAGGGUGGCAGGGCCUGCGACGACGACAAAAAGGAAGAUCACCAAGCAGGAGAGUUCCCUGAGGUCCGCGACUGCUUCAUGAUCUACGGUGGGCAAGCGGCGAAUGCCUCGGCUCGGCACCGCAAGCAAGAGCGCUGGGAGGUCUGUUCGGUGAAGGUGGCGGCGCCAGUCUACCUAGACUGGUCCGACAAGCCCAUCACCUUUGACCAAGCCGACCACCCCGACCAUGUGCCGAGCCCAGGGAAAUACCCGCUCGUCGUCGACCCCAUCAUCGGCGACGUCAGGCUCACCAAGGUCCUCAUGGACGGAGGCAGCAACCUCAACAUCAUCUAUGUCGAGACCCUCGGGCUCCUGCGUGUCGAUUUGUCCUCCGUCCGGGCAGGCGCUGCGCCCUUCCAUGGGAUCAUUCCCGGGAAGCGCGUCCAGCCCCUCGGACAGCUCGACCUUCCCGUCUGCUUCGGAACACCCUCCAACUUCCGAAGGGAGACCCUGACGUUCGAGGUGGUCGGGUUCCGAGGAACCUACCACGCGGUACUGGGGAGGCCAUGCUACGCGAAGUUCAUGGUCGUCCCCAACUACACCUACCUGAAGCUCAAGAUGUCGGGCCCCAACGGGGUCAUCACCGUCGGCCCCACGUACAAACACGCGUUCGAAUGCGACGUGGAGUGCGUGGAGUACGUCGAGGCCCUCGCCGAGUCCGAGGCCCUCAUCGCCGACCUGGAGAGCCUCUCUAAGGAGGUGCCAGACGUGAAGCGUCAUGCCGGCAACUUUGAGCCAGCGGAGACGGUUAAGGCCGUCCCCCUCGACCCCAGCAGCGACGCCUCCAAGCAGAUCCGGAUCGGCUCCGAGCUCGAUCCCAAAUAGGAAGCAGUGCUCGUCGACUUUCUUCGCGCGAACGCCGACGUCUUCGUGUGGAGUCCCUCGGACAUGCCCGACAUACCGAGGGAUGUCGCCGAGCACUCGCUGGACAUCUGAGCCAGAGCCCGACCCAUCAAGCAGCAUCUGCGCCGAUUCGACGAGGAAAAGCGCAAAGCCAUAGGCGAGGAGAUCCACAAGCUAAUGGCGGCAGGGUUCAUCAAAGAGGUAUUCCAUCCCGAAUGGCUUGCCAACCCUGUGCUUGUGAGAAAGAAAGGGGGGAAAUGGCGGAUGUGUGUAGACUACACUGGUCUGAACAAAUCAUGUCCGAAGGUUCCCUACCCUCUGCCUCGCAUCGAUCAAAUCGUGGAUUCCACUGCUGGGUGUGAAACCCUGUCUUUCCUUGAUGCCUACUCAGGGUAUCACCAAAUCAGGAUGAAAGAGUCCGACCAGCUCGCGACUUCUUUCAUCACACCCUUUGGCAUGUACUGCUAUGUCACCAUGCCGUUCGGCUUGAGGAAUGCGGGCGCGACGUACCAGCGGUGCAUGAACCAUGUGUUCGGCGAACACAUUGGCCGCACGGUCGAGGCCUACGUCGAUGACAUCGUAGUCAAGACGAGGAAAGCCUCUGACCUCCUUUCUGACCUUGAAGUGACAUUCCGAUGUCUCAAGGCGAAAGGUGUCAAGCUCAAUCCUGAAAAGUGUGUCUUCGGGGUGCCCCGAGGCAUGCUCUUGGGGUUCAUCGUCUCCGAGCGGGGCAUCGAAGCCAACCCGGAGAAGAUCGCAGCCAUCACCAGCAUGGGGCCCAUCAAGGACUUGAAAGGCGUACAGAGGGUCAUGGGAUGUCUCGCGGCUCUGAGCCGCUUCAUCUCACGCCUCGGCGAAAGAGGUCUACCUCUGUACCGCCUCUUAAGGAAGGCCGAGUGCUUCACUUGGACCCCUGAGGCCGAGGAAGCCCUCGGGAACCUGAAGGCGCUCCUCACGAAGGCGCCUAUCUUGGUGCCCCCGACUGCCGGAGAAGCCCUCUUGGUCUACGUCGCUGCAACCACUCAGGUGGUUAGCGCCGCGAUUGUGGUCGAGAGGCAAGAAGAGGGGCAUACAUUGCCCGUUCAGAGACCAGUCUACUUCGUCAGCGAGGUACUGUCCGAAACCAAGAUCUGCUACCCCCAAGUUCAGAAGUUGCUGUACGCGGUGAUCCUAACACGGCGGAAGUUGCGACACUACUUCGAAUCCCAUCCGGUAACUGUGGUGUCAUCCUUCCCCCUGGGGGAGAUCAUCCAGUGCCGGGAGGCUUCGGGUAGGAUCGCAAAGUGGGCGGUGGAAAUCAUGGGCGAGACAAUCUCGUUCGCACCUCGGAAGGACAUCAAGUCCCAGGUCUUGGCGGACUUCGUAGCUGAAUGGGUCGACACUCAGCUCCCGACAGCUCCGAUCCAGCCGGAGCUCUGGACCAUGUUCUUCGACGGGUCGCUGAUGAAGACAGUAGCCGGCGCAGGCCUACUCUUCAUCUCGCCCCUCGGGAAGCACCUACGCUACGUGCUACGCCUCCAUUUCCCAGCGUCCAACAUUGUGGCCGAGUAUGAGGCUCUGGUCAGCGGGUUGCGGAUCGCCAUCGAGCUAGGGGUCCGACGCCUCGACGCUCGCGGUGACUCGCAGCUCGUCAUCGACCAAGUCAUGAAGAACUCCCACUGCCACGACCCGAAGAUGGAGGCCUACUACGACGAGGUUCGGCGCCUGGAAGACAAGUUCUACGGGCUCGAGCUCAACCACAUCGCUCGGCGCUACAACGAGACUGUGGAUGAGCUGGCUAAAAUAGCCUCGGGGCGAACAACGGUUCCCCCGGACGUCUUCUCCCGGGAUCUGCAUCAACCCUCCGUCAAGAUCGACGACACGCCCGAGCCUGAGGCACCCUCGGCCCAGCCCGAGGUACCCUCGGCUCGCUCCGAGGCACCCUCGGUUCGGCCCGAGGUACCCUCGGCCCCUGAGGGCGAGACGCUGCGCGUCGAGGGGGAGCAAAGCGGGGUCACGCCUGAUCAAAACUGGCAGACCCCGUACCUGCAAUAUCUCCAUCGAGGAGAGCUACCCUCCGACCGAGCCGAAGCCCGGCGGGUGGCGCGGCGCGCCAAGUCGUUCGUCUUGCUGGGAGAUGAGAAGGAGCUCUACCACCGCAGCCCCUCCGGCAUCCUCCAGCGAUGCAUCUCCAUCGCCGAAGGUUAGGAACUCCUGCGAGAGAUACACUCGGGGGCUUGCAGCCAUCACGCAGCACCUCGAGCCCAUGUCGGGAAUGCUUUCUGACAAGGCUUCUACUGGCCGACGGCGGUGGCCGACGCCACUAGAAUUGUCCGCACCUGCGAAGGGUGUCAGUUCUACGCAAGGCAGACCCACCUGCCCGCUCAGGCUCUGCAGACGAUACCUAUCACCUGGCCUUUUGCUGUAUGGGGUCUGGACCUCGUCGGCCCCUUGCAGAAGGCACCCGGGGGGCUACACGCACCUGUUGGUCGCCAUCGACAAAUUCUCCAAGUGGAUCGAGGUCCGACCCCUAAACAGCAUCAGGUCCGAGCAGGCGGUGGCGUUCUUCACCAACAUCAUCCAUCGCUUAGGGGUCCCGAACUCCAUCAUCACCGACAACGGCACCCAGUUCACCGGCAGAAAGUUCCUGGACUUCUGCGAGGAUCACCACAUCCAGGUGGACUGGGCCGCCGUGGCUCAUCCCAUGACGAAUGGGCAAGUAGAGCGUGCCAACGGCAUGAUUCUACAAGGGCUCAAGCCUCGGAUCUACAAUGACCUCAACAAGUUCGGCAAGCGGUGGAUGAAGGAACUCCCCUCGGUGGUCUGGAGUCUGAGGACAACACCGAGCCGAGCCACGGGCUUCACGCCGUUCUUUCUAGUCUAUGGGGCCGAGGCCAUCUUGCCCACAGACUUAGAAUACGGUUCCCCGAGGACGAGGGCCUACACCGACCAAAGCAACCAAGCUAGUCGAGAAGACUCGCUGGACCAGCUGGAAGGGGCUCGGGAUAGGGCCUUACUCCACUCGGCGCGGUACCAGCAGUCCAUGCGACGCUACCACGCCCGAGGGGUCCGGUCCCGAGACCUCCAGGUGGGCGACCUGGUGCUUCGGCUGCGACAAGACGCCCGAGGGCGGCACAAGCUCACGCCCCCCUAGGAGGGGCCGUUCGUCAUCGCCAAAAUUCUGAAGCCCGGAACGUACAAGCUGGCUAACAGUCAAGGCGAGGUCUACAGCAACGCUUGGAACAUCCAACAGCUACGUCGCUUCUACCCUUAAGAUGUUUUCAAGUUGUUCAUAUACCUCGCUCCCACGCAAAGUUUAGUCAUCCAGGAAGGGUCAGCCUUGCCUCGGCAAAGCCCGACCCUCCCUCGGGGGCUAAAAGGGGGAACCCCCUCUGCGUCGAAAUUUUCCUCGAAAAAAGAUCUUUUCUGCCAGAAUGUCUUUCGUGCUUUUUGACUACUUCGAAAGUGAAUCCUGAAAACGACGGAGUACACGUAAGCAGCCAAGGCUGACCGAGCCGAGGGACUCGUACGCCUCCGGGAUACGGAUACCUCACUCAUCACCUUCUGCGAUAAGUAACUCACGUUCGGAUAAGUGAUUCCGCGGACCGAACAAGUCUUCACGUUCGGAAGCCCUUCUGCAGAAGCGAUUCUUCGAGCCUUCUCGACUUCGUCGGUAACAUAACCCCAUGAACGGGUAAGAGUGCGCGUAAGCGGCAAGGCCGACCGAGCCGAGGGAUUCCUACGCCUCCGGGAUACGGAUACCUCACUCAUCACCUUCCGUGAGAAGCAACUCUCGCUCGCACAAGUAAUUCUGUUACCGACAAAAGAGUCCAGAUACUCAAAACAAGAGGAAAAGAGACGCAGCUUUACAACACAGCGAGGGUGUGUUUUGGCCUCGGCGGCCGCAGGAAACACACGCUACAAGACAAUCCGAUCCUGUAGGCUCGGAUCUUGACGCUUGAAGAGAGCAGCAGCACCCUCGGCGUCGACAACACCUUCAGCGAAGUCCGACCUAGCCUCGGACGGCGACGCGGUCCGAAGAUCUCCACUCUGAAGGACGACGUCAUCACCAAGCCCGUGCCAUCGCCGUCAGGGUCUUCUCCGAGAAUCCGGCUCGGGCAGGCGGUUCGGCUGGCCACCCCGAGGCCUCGACCGGCUGUCCCCCGUGGACGUCAGCCCGACCCGAGGCCUCGGCAGGACAAUUCCGGCGUCGGUCCCGCUAACGGACGGCCCGGCCAGGCUCCGGCCGACCAGGUCUUCUUAUCGAGCCAACUCUGCUUCUGUUCGCGCUGACACCGCUACCCCCGGCCUCGGCUCAUCGAAGAGCGGCCGAGGGGUUCCUUUAACUAAGCAAGAGAAGCCUCGGGCAACAAGGCUGACCGAGCCGAGGGACUCCUACGCCUCCGGGAUACGGAUACCUCACUCAUCACCUUUACACGGGGCAACUCAUGCUUGGUGAAGCGGUUCAGACAACCAACAGGCGAGUCUUAGUGCUCGAAAAUGAGGAAAAAACACGACUCUGUGCCGAAAUUACAUACAUGUUCAGGCCUCGACAGCCACAAUGAACAAAAACACUGGCAUUCAAAGUGCCAUUACAAACCGAACUCCGGUUCCACCUCCGCAGGUACGAACAACCCCACUCGAUAGGGGGGGCCUGCGGAGCAACAGAAGACUGACGGGCGGCUCGCCGCCGCCCGCUCUGGCAGUAGCAACAACGACCCCCGCUCCGGGUGGCCGAGCCGCAGCAGCGUAGGCCUCAGGGCGGGUGCUGCUGCAAUCUUGCCCUCGCCCACGCCGACGCUCGAGGGGCGAGGACAAGUACAAAGAGCCGGAGGCCUGAAGCGUGGAUGGUGGCGGUGAUCCCGUCGGCAACGGGGACUUCUCGAGCCGCCUCCACCUCGACACCAACGACAGGGGCCGUCAGCCCUCCGGCAGAUCCCCACUCAGAUCCUCCCGGACGAGUGGGGCACCGACCUCCGCGCGGAGGCGCCAUACCGGUGCAAAGGCGAGACCGCCCCAGAACACGAACGCCGCCCUAGCAGCGCGCGACAUCUUGGGCAGUCCUCCCGUGCACACGGCGCGGCAGCUGCCUUCCGGCAGGAGGGGGCACCGGGAGCCAAGCCGACAAGCUCGACGCGCCAAGGAUGACGACGCCCGCCGUCGACCAGCCCCGCGUUGUCGAAGUCCGACCCGCCUGCAGGGCCAGUGAGCGCCCUCUCCCUCGAACGCUGCAGGAGAGGCUGACCCACGAACCCACGUGGGAGGUAGAGCUCCGGCUCAGCCCGGCCUCCACCCCAGCGAGGAUGAUGAACAUCCUUGAAGCUGAGGGUGGGACCAAGAUCGCAGCCCGGCUUGCUUCUCCCCACCCAGGGGCUGGUGGUCACAGUCUUGGGUGACCGCCGGCGGGGGGGGGGGGGUACAGCCGGGCUGGUUGAUGAAAAUCCUUGAAGCCGAACGAUGGCUGAAAGGUGCCAACUCCCACGGAGUUGCAUUCUUCCAACAACGAGGCGGAAAGACAGCGGAUAUCCCCCAUCCGGGGGCUUGGAAGGUGGAAAGACACGAUGCAUAAGGGAGCGCGAAGACAUGGUCGCCUUCCAAGGGGGUCACCCUCCUUUAAAAGGUGACUCUCCCUGCUUGUGUCCCCAGUCGUCGCGGGCUGAGUCUUCUCCAACACGCUCCAAGGUCCUCCCCCGCGGCGCGGGGGCUGGGUCCCACACGUCAUGCAAGUCGGCUCAGAGCAGAAGAAGCCAAACCGCCGUGCGCGGUGCGUACAACCGCCCAGCGGUUACAAGCGACUCUCCACUUUUUCCCAGACCAACGGGCGAAAGGGGCGGGCAGCCAUGCAGGCGGCAUGCAACCGCGCCAAGUGGGUGCACUUCUCCGACUCCCAACACGCCCAGCACGGAGGCCCAGGCCCACGCGUCAUGCAACCGGCGCACCGAAUGCUUCGUGCAUGCAACUGCACCGCCACUUGCGCCACUACCGCGCCUCCUCGACUGCGGAACCAAUACCGCGACUCGAGGCGACCCAGCGCGCGACCCAGCAGCGCCAGCCUGGCGCGACGGUCAAUGCGGCCAAAAAUGGGCCGGCAGUAAUGGCGGUGGCAGGCGGGCAGGAGCAGCGGCCCCGUCGUCAGCCAAGCUCACGUCCCAUCCGGGGGCAGUGAGAGAACCCUCUCUCACGGCGUGAAGACAACGCGCCCGUGUUCCGUUCCUCGAACGGAUCGCGCACGCGCAACGGCCGCCCCGCCAACCACUCGCCCCGUCGCAUUAACUCCGCGGCGGGACAGGCAGCGCCUCUGGCAGGAGGAGCGGGCGACGCUUCGCCUUCGCCAUAAUGACCGCGUCGAAAAAGGUACGCCGCGUCAUUCGAUUUCGUAUCCUUUUCCUUUUUUCCUCUUUCUCUCUCUUGCAACAGGGACCGGGAAAGGGGGAUACCCCGAAAAGGAUCCUUCCCCAUGAAGGAACCAGGCUCUAAGCCUCCCUACUGAUCAGAGGUUCGAAGGCUGGCCCCUCGGAAGGGUUCGACAGCCGCCUCAGAUCGCGUGGGCUCUACACCCACUACUGGUCAGAGGUUCGAAGGUCGGCCCCUCGGAAGGGUUCCACGGCCGCCUCAGGCUACUCGGGCUCCACGCCCAUUACUGAUCAGGGGUUCGAAGGCUGGCCCCCGAAGGGUUCACAGCCGCCUCAGACGCCGAGCGAGGGAUGACCAUGGGUACGUUCGAUACAUAACCAUGGCUCGGGCUGCGCUCCCGAGGUACCCUAGGACAUUUCCGAGACCAGCGGGAACGAUCUUGUAACGGAAUCCCAUCAGAGGGAGGCAUCGAGCCCUCGGACCCCGUCGCCAGGGGACCGGGUCCGGCAGAUCACCCGCAGGUACUUUUGGGCGUGCCUCUGGGCCCCUAGCCGACCCCUAACGAACGGGGAACGGACGUCCACUCGGAUUACCCGCUUGCAGCUCACCGGAGACACCAUGUUCGGCGCCCAUCGAGGGCAACAUGGCGCUUUCCCCCCUCCUCCUUGCGGAAAGGCGACGCAGGGGCGUAUGUAAAAAAGUUGAGUUUGUCCCUGAUCGCCCUCUCGCCCUAUGCAGAGGCUCGGGGGCUGCUCUCGCAAACCCGGCUCCGGCCGAACCGUUGACAGCGUCAACAUACCAGCCCGAGAACUUGGGAUCCGACCGUACACCCGGGCUAAGGCCAGCUCGCAUGAGGGACGACCAGACCAGCCGAAGCAUUACGCGAGGCAUUAAGACCUCGGAGGAGUGAAACCACUCCUCCGAGGCCUCGGGGGCUACACCCGGCGGGUGCGCUCGCGCGCACCCACCGGAACAAAACGCAACCGAGAAAGGAUGGUCCCCUUGCAAAAAAGUGCGACGAAAGCCUCCAAGCGAGUGCUAACACUCCCUUCGAGGCUCGGGGGCUACUGUCGGGGACCAUAAUUAGGGGUACCCUCAAGGCUCCUAAUUCUCAGCUGGUAACCCCCAUCAGCAUAAAGCUGCAAAGGCCUGAUGGGUGCGAUUAAGUCAGGGAUCAGUCCAUACGAGGGACUCGAUCACGCCUCGCCCGAGCCUAGCCUCGGACAAGGGCAGCCGACCCCGGAGGAUCUCCGUCUCGCCCGAGGCCCCCCUCCAGCGGCGAACAUGUUCCCGGCUCGCCCGAGGCCCUGUCUUCGCCAAGAAGCAACCCUGACCAAAUCACCGCACCGACCGACCAAAUCGCAGGAGCAUUUAAUGCAAAGGUGGCCUGACACCUUUAUCCUGAUGCGCGCCCCCCAGCCGAUAGAGCCGAAGUGACCGCCGUCACUUCGCCGCUCCACUGACCGGCCUGACAGAAAGACAGUGCCACCUGCGCCGCUCCGACUGCGGUGCCACUUGACAGAGUGAGGCUGACAGGCAGUCAGGCCCGGCCGCAGGCACCAUAGGAAGCUCUGCUUCGCCCGACCCAGGGCUCGGACUUGGGCUCAGCCCCGGAAGACGGCGAACUCCGCACCGCCCGACCCAGGGCUCGGACUCGGGUUAAGCCCCAGAAGACGACGAACUCCGCUCCGCCCGACCUAGGGCUCGGACUUGGGCUCAGCCCCAGAAGACGACGAACUCCGCUCCGCCCGACCCCAGGGCUCGGACUACGCCCUGACCUCAGCCGACGGUCUCCGCCUCGCCCGACCCAGGGGCUCGGACUCGACCUCGGCCACGGAAGACAGACUCGACCUCGGCUUCGGAGGAGCUUCCACAUCACCCAACCUAGGGCGCAGACCAGCCACGUCGACAGGAGGCGCCAUCAUCACCCUACCCCGAGCUGACCCGGGCCACGGGGGACAAGACCGGCGUCCCAUCUGGCUCGCUCCGCCAGAUAGGCAAUGAUGGCGCCCCGUAUACUCUGUGACGAUGACGGCUCUCAGCCCCUUACGGAAGCAAGAGGACGUCAGCAAGGACUCAAUAGCUCCAACAGUUGUCCCUCCGCCAGGCUCCAUCGCUCCUCCGACGGCCACGACAUCACACCAGCUGGGUGCCAAAAUCUCUCCGGCUGCCACAACGGCAUGUACUUAGGGCGCUAGCUCUCCUCCGCUAGACACGUAGCACUUUGCUGCACCCCCCAUUGUACACCUGGAUCCUCUCCUUACGCCUAUAAAAGGAAGGACCAGGGCCCUCUUAGAGAGGGUUGGCCGCGCGGGGACGAGGACGAGACAGGCGCUCGCGUGAGGCCGCUCGCUCCCUCUCCCGUGUGGACGCUUGUAACCCCCUACUGCAAGCGCACCCGACCUGGGCACGGGACGAACACGAAGGCCGCAGGAUUUCCACCUCUCUCACGCCCAACUCCGGCCACCUCACUUCCCCCCUUCGCGCUCGGCCUCACGCUCGACCCAUCUGGGCUGGGGCACGCGGCGACAUUCACUCGUCGGCUUAGGGACCCCCCGGUCUCGAAACGCCGACAGGUAGACACCCCUCAAUUAAGGAUGGGCUUGGCUUUAAGAGAGAAGCCAAGAACUCAACAAGUCAUAAGGCUCCCAUUCCCGCCAAGGAGAAAGGGAAGGCUCCAAUGACUAAUAGUGCUCAAAAGAACCAUGCUUUCAUGUACCAUGAUAGGAGAUAUUCUAGAAAUGCUCAUCAUGAUAGGAGUUGUAAUGCUUAUGAUUCAAGUGCCAUGUUUGUUUCAAGUUCUUCCUAUGUGCAUGGUAGAGAUAUGCCUAGGAAAAAUGUCAUUCAUCAUAUACCUAGGAGAAAUAUUGCUCAUGUUCCUAGUAAAAUUAAUGAACCUUCUACAAUUUAUCAUGCUUGCAAUGCUUCCUUUGCAAUUUGUAGAAAGGACAAGAAGGUGAUUGCUAGGAAAUUAGGGGCAAAAUGCAAGGGAGAUAAAACUUGCAUUUGGGUCCCUAAGACCAUUGUUACUAACCUUGUAGGACCCAACAAGAGUUGGGUACCUAAGACCCGAGCCUAAAUUGCCUUGCAGGUUUAUGCAUCCGGAGGCUCAAGCUAGAUUAUCGACAGCGGAUGCACAAACCACAUAACGAGGGAGAAGAAGAUGUUCACCUCCUACGUCAAGAACAAGGAUUCCCAAGAUUCAAUCAUAUUCGGUGAUGGGAACCAAGGCAAGGUUAAAGGACUAGGAAAAAUAGCAAUUUCAUCCGAGCAUUCUAUUUCUAAUGUGUUUUUAGUAGAAUCGCUCGGAUAUAACUUGUUAUCUGUUAGUCAACUUUGUAAUAUGGGAUAUAAUUGCUUAUUCACAAAUGUAGAUGUGUCUGUCUUUAGAGGGAAUGAUGGUUCAUUAGCUUUUAAGGGUGUACUAGAUGACAAACUCUAUUUAGUUGAUUUUGCAAAAGAGGAGGCCGGUCUAGAUGCAUGCUUAAUUGCUAAGACUAGCAUGGGCUGGCUGUGGCAUCGCCGUCUAGCACAUGUGGGGAUGAAGAACCUUCACAAGCUUCUAAAGGGAGAACAUGUGUUAGGUCUAACAAAUGUAAAUUUCGAAAAAGAUAGACCUUGUGCAGCUUGUCAAGCAGGUAAAUAGGUGGGAAGUUCUCAUCAUAUCAAAAAUGUGAUGACCACGUCAAGACCUUUGGAGUUACUUCAUAUGGACCUCUUCAGACCCGUCGCCUACCUAAGCAUAGGAGGAAGUAAGUAUGGUCUUGUUAUAGUUGAUGAUUUUUCCCGCUUCAUUUGGGUAUUCUUUUUGCAUGAUAAAUCUGAAACCCAAGGGACCCUCAAGUGCUUCCUAAGGAGAGCUCAAAAUGAGUUGAGCUCAAGGUGAAGAAGAUAAGGAGCGACAACGGGUCCGAGUUCAAGAACCUUCAAAUGGAGGAGUACCUUGAGGAGGAAGGAAUCAAGCACGAGUUCUCCGCUCCCUACACACCACAGCAAAACGGUGUGGUAGAGAGGAAGAACAGGACGCUCAUAGACAUGGCGAGGACGAUGCUUGGAGAAUUCAAGACGCCCGAGCGGUUUUGGUCGGAAGCUAUGAACACGGCUUGCCACGCCAUAAAUCGGGUCUACCUUCAUCGCCUCCUCAAGAAGACGUCUUACGAGCUACUAACCGGUAACAAACCCAACGUUUCUUAUUUUUGAGUUUUUGGGAGUAAAUGCUACAUAUGGUGAAGAAAGGUAGAAAUUCAAAAUUUGCUCCCAAAGCUGUACAAGGGUUUUUGUUAGGUUAUGACUCAAAUACAAAGGCGUAUAGAGUCUUCAACAAAUCAUCGGGUUUGGUUGAGGUCUCUAGCGACGUUGUAUUUGAUGAGACUAAUGGCUCUCCAAGAGAGCAAGUUAAUCCUGAUGAUGUAGAUGAGGAUGAUGUUCCAACGGACGCGAUUCGUACCAUGGCGAUUGGAGACGUGCGACCACAGGAACACAAGGAGCAAGAUCAACCUUCUUCCUCAACAACGGUGCAUCCCCCAACUCAAGAUGACGAACAGGUCCCUCAAGAAGAGGCGUGUGAUCAAGGGGGAGCACAAGAUGUCCAAGUCAAAGAGGAAGAAGCACCACAGGCCCCUCCAACUCAAGUUCGAGCGAUGAUUCAAAGGAACCAUCCCGUCGACCAGAUAUUGGGUGAUAUUAGCAAGGGAGUAACUACUCGCUCUAGAUUAGUUAAUUUUUGUGAGCAUUACUCUUUUGUCUCUUCUGUUGAGCCUUUCAGGGUAGAAGAGGCCUUGCUAGAUCCGGACUGGGUGUUGGCCAUGCAGGAGGAGCUCAACAAUUUCAAGAGAAAUGAAGUUUGGACACUAGUGCCACGUCCCAAGCAAAACGUUGUGGGAACCAAGUGGGUAUUCCGCAACAAACAAGACGAGCACGGGGUGGUGACAAGGAACAAGGCAAGACUUGUGGUAAAAGGUUAUGCCCAAGUCGCAGGUUUGGACUUUGAGGAGACUUUUGCUCCUGUGGCUAGGCUAGAGUCAAUUCGCAUAUUGUUAUCCUAUGCCGCUCACCAUUCUUUCAGGUUAUUCCAAAUGGAUGUGAAGAGCGCUUUCCUCAACGGGCCAAUCAAGAAGGAGGUGUACGUAGAGCAACCCCCUGGCUUUGAGGAUGAACGAUACCCCGACCACGUGUGUAAGCUCUCUAAGGCGCUCUAUGGACUUAAGCAAGCCCCAAGAGCAUGGUAUGAAUGCCUUAGAAACUUUUUAAUUGCUAAUGCUUUCAAGGUUGGGAAAGCCGAUCCAACUCUUUUCACUAAGACAUGUGAUGGUGACUUAUUUGUGUGCCAAAUUUAUGUCGAUGACAUAAUAUUCGGUUCUACCAACCAAAAGUCUUGUGAAGAGUUUAGCAGGGUGAUGACGCAGAAAUUCGAGAUGUCGAUGAUGGGCGAGUUGAACUACUUCCUUGGGUUCCAAGUGAAGCAACUCAAGGAUGACACCUUCAUCUCUCAAACGAAGUAUACACAAGACUUGCUCAAGCGGUUCGAGAUGAAGGACGCCAAGCCUGCAAAGACUCCAAUGGGAACUGACGGACACGUCGACCUCAACAAAGGAGGUAAGUCCGUUGAUCAAAAAGCAUACCGGUCUAUGAUAGGUUCCUUGCUUAACUUAUGUGCUAGUAGACCGGAUAUUAUGCUUAGUGUAUGCAUGUGUGCUAGAUUUCAAUCUGAUCCAAGGGAGUGUCACUUAGUGGCCGUGAAGCGAAUUCUUAGAUAUUUAGUCGCUACGCCUUGCUUCGGGAUCUGGUAUCCAAAGGGGUCUACCUUUGACUUAAUUGGAUAUUCAAACUCUGAUUAUGCUGGAUGUAAGGUUGAUAGGAAGAGUAUAUCAGGGACGUGCCAAUUCUUAGGAAGGUCCCUGGUGUCUUGGAGUUUUCUAAGAAACAAACUUCCGUUGCCCUAUCCACCGCUGAGGCCGAGUAUGUUGCCGCAGGUCAGUGUUGCGCGCAACUACUUUGGAUGAGGCAAACCCUCCGGGACUUUGGCUACAAUCUGAGCAAAGUCCCACUCCUAUGUGAUAAUGAGAGUGUUAUCCGCACGGCGGAUAAUCCUGUUGAACACAGCCGCACUAAGCACAUAGACAUCCGGCAUCACUUUUUGAGAGACCACCAGCAAAAGGGAGAUAUCGAAGUGUUUUAUGUUAGCAUCGAGAACCAGCUAGCCAAUAUCUUUACCAAGCCUUUAGAUGAGAAGACCUUUUGCAGGCUGCGUAGUGAGCUAAAUGUCUUAGAUUCACGGAACUUGGAUUGAUUUAUAGCAUACAUGUGUUUUAUGCUUUGAUCAUGUUCCUUCUAUGCAUUGUGUUGUUUAUUUAUGGUGCUCAAGUUGUACAAGCACUCCCUGGACCUCACAAGUCCAUUUGCAAGUGAUGCACAUAUUUAGGGGGAGAUGUGCUACAACUUGACCCUUUGAGACUAACCAUGUGUUUGAGCUUGCUUGAUUUAGUCUCAAAGGUAGAUUGAAAGGGAAAUAUGGACUUGGACCAUGAAAGACUUUCACUGCACUCCGAUGAGAGGGUAACUUACUCCAAGUUCAUCUCCAUGUCUCGUAUUGCCUUUUUGCUCUUAUUUGAAGAUUUUGGUGAGGCAAUGGGGUUUAAGGGCCAAGAUUGAUCCCGUUUUGGUGCUUGAUGCCAAAGGGGGAGAAAAUAAGGCCAAAACAAGAAAUGGAUCAGCUACCACUUGAGAAUUUUGAAAAAGUAGAGUUAGAACUUUUGUUUUGUCAAAAUACUCUAAGUGUCUCUUUUGUCAAAAAUUGAUCUCUUGUGGGGAGAAUGUUUAAUUAUGGGAAAUAGGGGGAGUUUUUGAAUCUUUGAUCAAUUUCUCUUGGAAUACCUCUCUCUAUGCUGAAUUUGACUUAGAGAUAGGAAAUUGAGUUUGAUUUGCAAAAACAAACCAAGUGGUGGCAAAGAAUGAUCCAAAUAUGCCAAAUUUGAAUCAAAACAAAUUUGUGUUCUCAUUUGCAUUAAUGUUGCACUUCUUUUAGUUGCUUGUUGUUGUGUUGGCAUAAAUCACCAAAAAGGAGGAGAUUGAAAGGGAAAUGUGCCCUAGGGCCAUUCUAAGUAUUUUGGUGAUCAAGUGCCAACACAAAUGUGAAACUAUGCCAAAUGGUGGAUGAAGUGAAAAUCAACACAAAGGUAUGAUUCUAGACUUAGUACAUUGGUUUUUGUGUACUAACAUAUUUGUCUAAGUGCUAGAAUCAGAGAAAAUACAAUUGGAAAAGACUUGGCUCGAGCAGCCAAGACUCUGCUCAGUCUGGGUGCACCGGACAGUGUCCGGUGCGCCAGGCUGGCGUCUGGUGAACUGCCUGCUCUCGGGUCUCGACGGCGGCGUACGGACAUAAAUCACCGGACUGUCUAGUGGUGCACCGGACUGUCCGGUGAGUCGGCUGCGGCGAAGUCGCCGCUCUCGAGAAUCAAGUCAACAGCGUACGGCUAAAAUUCACCGGACUGUCCGGUGAGCCAACGGUCGGCCGCGCCAACGGUCGGCCGUGCAAUCCGGGCGUGACGCGUGGUCGGGCCAACGGUCUGAAGGGGGGCACCGGACUGUCCGGUGUGCACCAGACAGUGUCCGGUGCGCCAAUGGCUCCAAAUCGCCAACGGUCGGCUGCGCUAAAACAGGAAAGAAAUCUGCACCGGACAAUGUUCGGUGGUGCACCGGACUGUCCGGUGCACCAGUCGACAGAAGGCAAGAAUUUCCUUCCUAGAAUGCUCUCAACGGCUCCCAGCUGCCUUGGGGCUAUAAAAGGGACCCUAGGCGCAUGGAGGAAGACACUAAGCAUACUUUGAGCAUUCUUGAUCAUUCACACUUCGUCUUUGCGCACUCGUUUGACAUUCUUAGUGAUUUGAGCUCCGUUAUAGUGAGAACUUUUGUGAUAUUCAUUUGAGCUCAAGUCUUGCCCGUGUGUGUGCGUAUUGAUGUGGACUUGCGUGUGUUGCUCAUCCCAUCCUUACUUCCAUGUUCAUUUGUGAUCAUCUUUUGUAAGGACGAGAGACUCCAAGUUGUGGAGAUUCCUCGCGAACGGGAUAUAGUGAAAGGAAGAGAAACACCAUGGUAUUCAAGUGGAUCUUUGGAUCACUUGAGAGGGGUUGAUUGCAACCCUCGUCCGUUGGGACGCCACAACGUGGAGUAGGCAAGUGUUGAACUUGGCCGAACCACGGGAUAAACCACUGUGCCUAUCUGUGUUGAUAUCUUUGUGGUUAUUGUGUUUUGCAAGAACUCCUCUCUAGCCACUUGGCUUUAUCGCUUGUCGGCGUUUCGAGACCGGGGGGUCCCUGGGCCGACGAGUGAAUGUUGUUGCGUGCCCCAGCCCAGAUGGGUCAGCGCGAGGCCGAGCGCGAAAGGGGGGAGAAAGGUGGCCGGAGACCGGCGUGAGAGAGGUGGAAAUCCCGCGGCCUUCAUGUUCGUCCCGCGCCCAGGUCGGGUGCGCUUGCAGUAGGGGGUUACAAGCGUCCACGCGGGAGAGGGAGCGAGCGGCCUCACGCGAGCGCCUGUCUCGUCCUCGUCCCCGCGCGGCCAACCCUCUCUAAGAGGGCCCUGGUCCUUCCUUUUAUAGGCGCAAGGAGAGGAUCCAGGUGUACAAUGGGGGGUGUAGCAGAGUGCUACGUGUCUAGCGGAGGAGAGCUAGCGCCCUAAGUACACGCCAUCGUGGCGGCCGGAGAGGUUUUGGCGCCCGGUUCAUGUGGUGUCGUGGCCGUCGGAGGAGCGCUGGAGCCUGGAGGAAGGACAGCUGUCGGGGCUGUUGAGUCCUUGCUGACGUCCUCUUGCUUCCGUAAGGGGGCGGAGAGCUGCCGUCGUCAGGGAGCGUGCGGGGCGCCAUCAUUGCUUAUCUGGCGGAGCGAGCCAGAUGGGACGCCGGUCUUGUUCCCCGUAGCCUGAGUCAGCUUGGGGCAGGGUAAUGAUGGCGCCUCCCGUUGACGUGGUCGGCCCGCGCCUUAGGUCGGGCGAUGUGGAGGCUCCUCCGAGGUCGAGGUCGAGUCUGUCUUCCGUGGCCGUGGUCGAGUCCGAGCCCCUGGGUCGGGCGAGGCGGAGACCGUCGGCUGAGGCCAGGGCUGAGUCCGAGCCCUGGGGUCGGGCGAAGCGGAGUUCGUCGUCUUCUGGGGCUGAUCCCAAGUCCGAGCCUCGGGUCGGGCGGAGCGGAGUUCGUCGUCUUCUGGGGCUGAGCCCAAGUCCGAGCCCUGGGUCGGGCGGAGCGGAGUUCGCCGUCUUCAGGGGCUUAGCCCGAGUCCGAGCCAUGGGUCGGGCGGAGCGGUGUUCGCCGUCUUCCGGGGCUUAGCCCGAGUCCGAGCCCUGGGUCGGGCGGAGCAGAGUUCGCCGUCUUCUGAGGCUUAGCCCGAGUCCGAGCCCUGGGUCGGGCGGAGCGGAGUUCGCCGUCUUCCGGGCUUAGCCCGAGUCCGAGCCCUGGGUCGGGCGGAGCGGAGUUCACCGUCUUCCGGGGCUUAGCCCGAGUCCGAGCCCUGGGUCGGGCGGAGCGGAGCUUCCUAUGGAGCCUGAGGUCGGGCCUGACUGCCUGUCAGCCUCACUCUGUCAAAUGGCACUGCAGUCGGUGCGGCGCAGGCGGCGCUGUCCUUCUGUUAGGUCGGUCAGUGGAGCGGCGAAGUGACUGCGGUCACUUCGGAUCUGUCGACUGAAGGGCGCGCGUCAGGAUAAAGGUGUCAGGCCACCUUUGCAUUAAAUGCUCCUGCGAUUUGUUCGGUCGGCGUGGCGAUUUGGUCAGGGUUGCUUCUUGGCGAAGAUAGGGCCUCGGGCAAGCCGGAAGUAUGUUCGUCGCUGGAGGGGGGCCUCGGGCGAGACGGAGAUCCCCCGGGGUCGGCUGCCCUUGCCCGAGGCUAGGCUCGGGCGAGGCGUGAUCGAGUCCCUCGAAUGGACCGAUCCCUGACUUAAUCGCACCCAUCAGGCCUUUGCAGCUUUGUGCUGAUGGGGGUUACCAGCUGAGAAAUAGGAGCCUUGAGGGUACCCCUAAUUAUGGUCCCCGACAGUAGCCCCCGAGCCUCGAAGGGAGUGUUAACACUCGCUUGGUGGCUUUUGUCGCACUUUUUUGCAAGGGGACCAGCCUUUCUCGGUUGCGUUUUGUUUCGGUGGGUGCGCGCGAGCGCACCCGCCGGGUGUAGCCCCCGAGGCCUCGGAGAAGUGGUUUGACUCCUCCGAGGUCUUAAUGCCUCGCGCAAUGCUUUGGCUGGUCUGGUUGUUCCCUCAUGCGAACUGGCCGUAGCCCGGGUGCACGGUCGGGUCCCAAGUUCUCGGGCUGGUAUGUUGACGCUGUCAACGGUUUGGCCGGAGCCGGGUUUGCGAGAGCAGCCCUCGAGCCUCUGCACGGGGCAAGAGAACGAUCAGGGACAGACUCGACUUUUUUACAUACGCCCCUGCGUCGCCUUUCCGCAAGGAGGAGGGGGGGAAGCGCCAUGUUGCCCUCGGUGGGCGCCGAACAUGGUGUCUCCGGUGAGCUGCUAGCGGGUAAUCCGAGCGGACGUCCGUGCCCCAUUUGCUAGGGGUCGGCUAGAGGCCCAGAGGCGCGCCCAAAAGUACCUGCGGGUGAUCUGCCGGACCCGGUCCCCUGUCGAUGGGGUCCGAGGGCUCGAUGCCUCCCUCUGAUGGGAUUCCGUUACAAGAUCAUUCCCGCUGGUCUCGGAAAUGUCCUAGGGUACCUCGGGAGCGCAGCCCGAGCCUUGGUUAUGUAUCGAAUGUACCCAUGGUCAUCCCUCGCUUUGUGUCUGAGGCGGCUGUGAAUCCUUCGAGGGCCAGCCUUCGAACCUCUGAUCAGUAGUGGGCGCGGAGCCCGAGUAGCCUGAGGCGGUCGUUGAACCCUUCCGAGGGGCUGGCCUUCGAACCUCUGACCAGUAGUGGGUGUGGAGCCCACGCGCUCUGAGGUGGCUGUUGAACCCCUCCGAGGGGCCAGCCUUCGAACCUCUGAUCAGUAGGGAGGCUCGGAGCCUGGUUCCUUCACGGGGAAGGAUCCUUUUCGGGGUAUCCCCCUUUCCUGGUCCCUGUCGUAAGAGAGAGAAAGAGGAAAAAAGGAAAAGGAUUUGAAAUUGAAUGACGUGGCGUACCUUUUUUGACGCGGUCAUUAUGGCGAAGGCGAAGCGUCGCUUGCUUCUCCUGCCAGAGGCGCCGCCUGUCCCGCCGUGGAGUUAAUGCGACGGGGCGAGUGGUUCGCGGGGCGGCCGUUGCGCGUGCACGGGCCGUUCGAGGAACGGAACACGGGCGCGUCGUCUUCACGCCGUGAGAGAGGGUUCUCUCGCUGCCCCCGGAUGGGACGUAAGCUUGGCUGACGACGUGACCGCUGCUCCUGCCCGCCUGCCACCGCCAUUACUGCCGGCCCAUUUUUGGCCGCAUUGACCGUCGCGCCAGGCUGGCGCUGCUGGGUCGUGCGCUGGGUCGCCUCGAGUCGCGGCAUUGGUUCCGCAGUCGAGGAGGCGUGGUAGUGGCGCGGGUGGCGGUGCAGUUGCUCGCACGCAGCAUCCGGCGCGCCGGUUGCAUGACGCGUGGGCGUGGGCUUCCAUGCUGGGCGCGUUGGAAGUCGGAGAGGUGUGCCCACUUGGCGCGGUUGCAUGCCGCCUGCAUGGCUGCCCACCCUUUCGCCCGCUGGUCCGGGCAAAAGUGGAGAGCCGCUUGUAACCGUUGGGCGGUUGCAUGCACCGCGCGCGGCGGUUUGGCUUCUUCUGCUCUGGGCCUGCUUGCAUGACGUGUGAGACCCAGCCCCCGCGCCGUAGGGGGAGGACCUUGGAGCGUGUUGGAGAGGACUCGGCCCGCGACGGCUGGGGACGCAAGUAGGGAGAGUCGCCUUUAAAAGGAGGGUGACCCCCUUGAAAGGCGACCAUGUCUUCGUGCUCCCUUAUGCAUCGUGUCUUUCCACCUUCCGAGCCCCGGAUGGGGGAUGCCCGCAGUCCUUCUGCCUUGUCGUUGGGGGAACGCAACUCCGUGGGAGUUGGUACCUUUCAGCCAUCGUUCGGCUUCAAGGAUUUUCAUCAUGCAGCCCGGCUGCACCCCUCCGCCGGCGGUCACCCAAGAUGGUGACCUCCAGUUCGAUGGCGGGGGAAAGCAAGCCGGGCUGCGGCCUCUGCCCCUCCCUCAGCCUCAAGGAUUUUCAUCACCAGGGCUGGGGAGGGGAGUGUGCCGAGUUGGGGUCGGCCCCUGCGUGGGCGGUGGACCGCUCCUUCCCUCAGUGAUCGAGGGGUAGGGCGGUUGCCGUCCGUGGCGCUGGCAGCUGCCGCGCGCCUGGCUCUCGGACCCGAGUGGCUUCGGAGCCGCUCUCGGUGCCGGCUCCCGCCACGGCAGCUAGAAGAGGUUCUUCCGCCGACGAGAUAGCCGGGGCCGCCUACGGACCGACCUCCAACUCUACGGCCUUCUGCCCGUCUUUGCCUCACGAGUUUGGGCAUGGGCGGGGGCCUCCCGGCAGCGGCAUCCGCCCUGAGGUCAUCGCUGCCGCUGUUUGGCCCCCCGGAGCAGAAGUCGUCGUCGUCGCCGCUACUGGAGCGGGUGACGGCGUGCCGUUCGUCGGUCUUCUGUUGCUCCGCAGCCCCCCCCCCAUGAGUGGGGUUGUUCGUACCUGCGGAGGUGGAACCAGAGUUCCGUUUGUAAUGGCACUUUGAAUGCUGGUCUUAUGUUCAUAGUGGCUGUCGGGGCCUGAACAUGUAUGUAUUUUUGGCACGGAGCCGUGUUUUUUCCUCAUUUUCGAGCACUAAGACUCGCCUGUUGGUUGUCUGAACCGCUUCACCAAGCGUGAGUCGCCCCGUGUAAAGGUGACGAGUGAGGUAUCCGUAUCCCAGAGGCGUAGGAGUCCCUUGGCUCGGUCAGCCUUGUUGUCCGAGGCUUCUCUUGCUUAGUUAAAGGAACCCCUCGGCCGCUCUUUGAUGAGCCGAGGCCAGGGGUAGCGGUGUCAGCGCGAACAGAGGCAGAGUUGGCUCGAAAAGAAGACCUGGUCGGCCGAAGCCUGGCCGGGUCGUCCGUUAGCGGGACUGACUCCGGAGUUGGUCUGCCGAGGCCUCGGGCCGGGCUGAUGUCUCCGAGGGACAACUGGCCGAGGCCUCGGGGUGACCAGCCGAGCCGCCUGCUCGAGCCAGAUUCUCGGAGAAGACCCGGGUGGCGAUGGCCCGGGCUUGGUGAUGACGUCGUCCUUCAGAGUGGAGACCCUCGGACCGUGUCGCCGUCCGAGGCUAGGUCGGACCUCGCCGAAGGUGUAGCCGACGCCGAGGGUGCUGCUGCUCCCUUCAACCGCCAAGAUCCGAGCCUGCAGGAUCGGAUUAUCUUGUAGUGUGUGUUUUCUGCGGCCGUCGAGGCCCAAACACACCCUCGUCGUGUUGUAAAGCUGCGUCUCUUUUCCUCUUGUUUCGAGUAUCUGGACUUUUUUUGUCGGUAACAGAAUUGUUUGUGCGAGCGAGAGUUGCUUCUCACGGAAGGUGAUGAGUGAGAUAUCCGUAUCCCGGAGGCGUAGGAGUCCCUCGGCUCGGUCGGCCUUGCCGCUUACGCGCGCUCUUGCCCGUCCAUGGGGUUCUGUCACCGACGCAGUCGAGAAGGCCCGAAGAACCACUUCGGCAGAGGAGCUUUCGAACGUGAAGACUUGUUCGGUCCGUGGAAUCACUUAUCCGAGCGUGAGUUACUUAUCGCAGAAGGUGAUGAGUGAGGUAUCCGUAUCCCGGAGGCGUAGGAGUCCCUCGGCUCGGUCAGCCUUGGCUGCUUACGUGUACUCCAUCGUUUUCAGGAUCCACUUUCGAAGUAGUCGAAAAGCACGAAAGACAUUCUAGCAGAAAAGAUCUUUUUUCGAGGAAAAUUUCGACGCAGAGGGGGUUUCCCCCUUUUAGCCCCCGAGGGAGGGUCGGGCUUUGCCGAGGCAAGGCUGACCCUUCCUUGACGACUAAACUUUGCGCGGGAGCGAGGUAUAUGAACAACUUUAAAACAUCUUAAGGGUAGAAGCGAUAUAGUUGUUGGAUGUUCCAAGCGUUGUUGUAGACAUCGCCUUGACUGUUGGCCAGCUUGUACGUUCCGGGCUUCAGAACUUUGGCGAUGACGAACGGCCCCUCCUAGGGGGGCGUGAGCUUGUGCCGCCCCCGGGCGUCUUGUCGCAGCCGAAGCACCAGGUCGCCCACCUGGAGGUCUCGAGACCGGACCCCUCGGGCGUGGUAGCGUCGCAGGGACUGCUGGUACCGCGCCGAGUGUAGUAAGGCCUUGUCCCGAGCCUCUUCCAGUUGGUCCAGCGAGUCUUCUCGAUUAACUUGGUUGCUUUGGUCAGCAUAGGCCCUCGUCCUCGGGGAACCGUAUUCUAAGUCUGUGGGCAAGAUGGCCUCGGCCCCAUAGACUAGAAAGAACGGUGUGAAGCCCGUGGCUCGGCUCGGCGUUGUCCUCAGGCUCCACAUUACCGAGGGGAGUUCCUUCAUCCAUCGCUUGCCGAACUUGUUGAGGUCGUUGUAGAUUCGAGGCUUGAGUCCUUGUAGAAUCAUGCCGUUGGCACGCUCUACUUGCCCAUUCGUCAUGGGGUGAGCCACGGCGGCCCAGUCCACCCGGAUGUGGUGAUCCUCGCAGAAGUCCAGGAACUUUCUGCCGGUGAACUGGGUGCCGUUGUCGGUGAUGAUGGAGUUCGGGACCCCAAAAUGAUGGAUGAUGUUGGUGAAGAACGCCACCGCCUGCUCGGACCUGAUGUUGUUUAGGGGUCGGACCUCGAUCCACUUGGAGAAUUUGUCGAUGGCGACCAACAGGUGCGUGUAGCCCCCGGGUGCCUUCUGCAAGGGGCCGACGAGGUCCAGACCCCACACGACAAAAGGCCAAGUGAUGGGUAUGGUCUGCAGAGCCUGAGCGGGCAGGUGGGUCUGCUUUGCGUAGAACUGACACCCUUCGCAGGUGCGGACAAUUCUAGUGGCGUCGACCACCGUCGUCGGCCAGUAGAAACCUUGUCGGAAGGCGUUUCCAACAAGGGCUCGAGGUGCUGCGUGAUGGCCGCAAGCCCCCGAGUGUAUCUCUUGUAGGAGUUCCUGACCUUCGGCGAUGGAAAUGCAUCGCUGGAGGAUACCUGAGGGGCUGCGGUGGUAGAGCUCCUUCCCAUCUCCCAGCAAGACGAACGACUUGGCGCGUCGCGCCAACCACCGAGCCUCGGUUCGGUCGAGGGGUAGCUCUCCUCGGUGGAGAUAUUGCAGGUACGGGGUCUGCCAGUUUUGAUUAGGCGUGACCCCGCUUCGCUCCACCUCGACGCGCAGUGCCUCACCCUCGGGUGCCGAGGGUGCCUCGGGCCGAGCUGAGGGUGCCUCGGGCUGAGCCGAGGGUGCCUCGGACUGAGCCGAGGGUACCUCGGGCUGGGCCGAGGGUGCCUCGGGCUCGGGCGUGUCGUCGAUCUUGAUGGAGGGUUGAUGCAGGUCUCGGGAGAAGACGUCCGGGGGAACCGUUGUUCGCCCCGAGGCUAUUUUAGCCAGCUCGUCUGCAGUCUCGUUGUAGCGUCGGGCGAUGUGGUUGAGCUCGAGCCCGUAGAACUUGUCUUCCAGGCGCCGAACCUCAUCGCAGUAGGCCUCCAUCUUCGGGUCGCGGCAGUGGGAUUUCUUCAUGACUUGGUCGAUGACGAGCUGCGAGUCGCCGCGAGCGUCGAGGCGUCGGACCCCUAGCUCGAUGGCGAUCCGCAACCCAUUUACCAGAGCCUCAUACUCAGCCACAUUGUUGGACGCCGGGAAAUGGAGGCGUAGCACGUAGCGUAGGUGCUUCCCGAGGGGCGAGAUGAAGAGUAAACCUGCGUCGGCUCCCGUCUUCAUCAGCGACCCGUCGAAGAACAUGGUCCAGAGUUCCGGCUGGAUCGGAGCCGUUGGGAGCUGGGUGUCGACCCAUUCAGCCACGAAGUCCGCCAAGACCUGGGACUUGAUGGCCUUCCGAGGGGCAAACGAGAUUGCUUCGCCCAUAAUUUCCACCGCCCACUUUGCAAUUCUACCCGAGGCCUCUCGGCACUGGAUGAUCUCCCCCAGGGGGAAGGAUGACACCACAGUUACCGGAUGAGACUCGAAGUAGUGUCGCAGCUUCCGCCGCGUCAGGAUCACCGCGUACAGCAGCUUCUGAACUUGUGGGUAGCGGAUCUUGGUUUCGGACAGUACCUCGCUGACGAAGUAGACUGGCCUCUGAACGGGCAAUGCAUGCCCCUCUUCUCGUCUCUCAACCACAAUCGCGGCGCUAACCACCUGAGUGGUCGCGGCGACGUAGAUCAAGAGAGUUUCUCCGGCAGCAGGGGCACCAAGAUGGGCGCAUUCGUGAGGAGCGCCUUUAGGUUCCCGAGGGCUUCCUCGGCCUCAGGGGUCCAAGUGAAGCUCUCGGCCUUCCUUAAGAGGCGGUACAGAGGCAGGCCUCUUUCGCCGAGGCGUGAGAUGAAACGGCUCAGAGCCGCGAGACAUCCCAUGACCCUCUGUACGCCCUUCAAGUCCUUGAUGGGCCCCAUGCUGGUGAUGGCUGCGAUCUUCUCUGGGUUGGCUUCAAUGCCCCGCUCGGAGACGAUGAACCCCAAGAGCAUGCCUCGGGGCACCCCGAAGACACACUUUUCGGGAUUGAGCUUCACGCCUUUCGCCUUGAGACAUCGGAAUGUCACUUCAAGGUCGGAAAGGAGGUCGGAGGCUUUCCUCGUCUUGACUACGAUGUCAUCGACGUAGGCCUCGACCGUCCGGCCAAUGUGUUCGCCGAACACAUGGUUCAUGCACCGCUGGUACGUCGCACCCGCAUUCCCCAAGCCGAACGGCAUGGUGACAUAGCAGUACAUGCCGAAGGGUGUGAUGAAAGAAGUCGCGAGCUGGUCGGACUCUUUCAUCCUGAUUUGGUGAUACCCGGAGUAGGCAUCGAGGAAAGACAGGGUUUCGCACCUAGCAGUGGAAUCCACGAUUUGAUCGAUGCGAGGCAGAGGGUAGGGAACCUUCGGACAUGCUUUGUUUAGACCAGUGUAGUCUACACACAUCCGCCAUUUCCCUCCUUUCUUUCUCACAAGCACAGGGUUGGCGAGCCAUUCGGGAUGGAAUACCUCUUUGAUGAACCCUGCCGCCAUAAGCUUGUGGAUCUCCUCGCCUAUGGCUCUGCGCUUCUCUUCGUCGAAUCGGCGCAGAGGCUGCUUGACGGGUCGGGCUCCGGCUCGGAUGUCCAGCGAGUGCUGGGCAACAUCCCUCGGUAUGCCGGGCAUGUCCGAGGGACUCCACGCGAAGAUGUCGGCAUUCGCGGGGAGAAAGUCGAUGAGCACUGCUUCCUAUUUGGGAUCGAGCUCGGAGCCGAUCCGGAUCUGCUUGGAGGCGUCGCUGCUGGGGUCGAGGGGGACGGACUUAACCGUCUCCGCUGGCUCGAAGUUGCCGGCGUGACGCUUCACGUCAGGCACCUCCUUAGAGAGGCUCUCCGGGUCGGCGAUGAGGGCCUCGAACUCGGCGAGGGCCUCGGCGUACUCCACGCACUCCACGUCGCAUUCGAACGCGUGUUUGUACGUGGGCCCGACGGUGAUGACCCCGUUGGGGUCCGGCAUCUUGAGCUUGAGGUAGGUGUAGUUGGGGACGGCCAUGAACUUCGCGUAGCAUGGCCUUCCCAGUACCGCGUGGUAGGUUCCUCGGAACCCGACCACUUCGAACGUCAGGGUCUCCCUUCGGAAGUUGUAGGGUGUUCCGAAGCAGACGGGAAGGUCGAGUUGUCCGAGGGGCUGGACGCGCUUCCCGGGGAUGAUCCCAUGGAAAGGCGCAGCGACUGCCCGGACCGAGGACAGAUCGACACGCAGGAGCCCGAGGGUCUCGGCGUAGAUGAUGUUGAGGCUGUUGCCUCCGUCCAUGAGGACCUUGGUGAGCCUGACGUCGCCGACGACGGGGUCGACAACGAGCGGGUAUUUUCCCGGGCUCGGCACGUGGUCGGGGUGGUCGGCUUGGUCGAAGGUGAUGGGCUUGUCGGACCAGUCUAGGUAGACUGGCGCCGCCACCUUCACCGAACAGACCUCCCGACGCUCUUGCUUGCGGUGCCGAGCCGAGGCGUUCGUCGCUUGCCCACCGUAGAUCAUGAAGCAGUCGCGGACCUCGAGGAACUCUCCCGCCUGGUGAUCUUCCUUCUUGUCGUCGUCGUGAGGCCCUGUGGAAGUGGCGCCGAAGCAUGGCGCACUCCUCAAGGGUGUGCUUGAUGGGCCCCUGGUGAUAGGGGCACGGCUCCUUGAGCAUCUUGUCGAAGAGGUUGGCACCUCCGGGGGGUUUCCGAGGGUUCUUGUACUCGGCGGUGGCGACAAGGUCCGCGUCGGCGGCGUCGCGUUUCGCUUGCGACUUCUUCUUGCCCUUCUUCUUGGCGCCGCGCUGAGUUGACGCCUCGGGGGCAUCUUCCGGUGGGCGGCCCUAGGGCUGCUUGUCCUUCCGUAAGAUAGCCUCGACCGCCUCCUGGCCAGAGGCGAACUUGGUGGCGAUGUCCAUCAGCUCGCUCGCCCUGGUGGGGGUCUUGCGACCCAGCUUGCUCACCAGGUCGCGGCAGGUGGUGCCGGCACAAUUAUAUUUUUGUAGUUUCAAUUUAUUAGUAUGUAUGUAUUUACAAUAUAUAUCAUUUGCAUAACACAAUAUUUAUACUAUCUAUCCUUCGUAUAACACAAAUGGAUAUAAGCUCUAAAAUGGUUAGAAGUUGGGCGUUAGGAGGGGAGGAUGCAGGGUUCAAACCCCAAAACCCGUGCUAUAAAAGACUGUAUAACGAAGAAAAAACUAUAUUGCAUCAUGGGCUAAAAAUGUCCGGUUUUCUUUUUAUUGAGUACAGAGGGAGACAUUGGCCCAAAAAACAGCCCAUCAAACAGUUUUUUUUAUCGAACAAUUAGUAAAGAGGUGAGUGGUGGACUGGUGGUUAUAGGCUUAUAGCAUGUCUUUCGGCUGUGUGAGCGCAUUUUUUAUGAUUUUACGAGUCAUUCUAGUCUUGAUCACUCAAAUUUGACCAAAUUGUAGAGGAUUUCAAUAUUUAUGAUACAAAACAGACAUCAUAGAAAAAUAUAUUUUAUGAUAAAUCUCGUGAUGUCUUUUUAGUAUCCUAGAUUUGUAUUUUUUUUUCUUCUUUACAAAAUUUAAUCAACAGACAUGUGUUUGUACUUUUAUCCUAGACGAAAUACAGUGCCUUUGCACCGGUGGCCCGCCCAAAGUCGCCCGCCACUCAUGUGAGGCCCACUUGUCGAUCAACAAACGAUUAACAUGACACGUCGAUCUAUGGAGCGAGUCAGACAAUCUUUGAACCCUGAUGAACUAUGUUCAAUGAUCAAAAGUACACAUUUUUGGAGAUUUUGACACUCCGGGCAGACUAGCGGCGUUCCACAACUAAAGUGUUGCGCCACCUUUAUUAGUUAUGGUACACGCUUCUCUGCGCUCGUUUCCAGAUCAUGCAAGGGACAGGAUGUGGGCACAACGCAAGCACACCCACAAGAAAGGCAAAACACACACGACUGCCGCUCAGUGUUACAACUUACAAGCGUAUCCCAGCCAGGUUAUGUACUAUGCACAUUGCAUUGAGCUACGGCAUUAUAUGGAAACAACCAAACUGUUCGUUCCAAUGCAUCUAUAGUCCUUCAGUAUCGACGGCCACCACCAGUCGACAAAAGCACUCUAGUUGCUUUCUUACCCUUCUUCCCAGCGCCAUUUGCUUUCUGCAUCUCCGAGUUGUCAGCUGCAGUCACGGCUCUACUGGAAGAUAUGAUGCUGGCAAAUGAUAAUGCGGGUGUCGCUAACGGCCCUGCAUAACACAAAUAUAUCGUUACCGCCAGGAGUUCAAUGGAAAUCAGGUUUUAAUACACUGCAAGUGUCCAAACUCCUAAACAGACCAGGUAUCACGUACCUUGGUCUCUCGAGGUUUCACUUUGGCCAUUUGCAUCCCCAGUUCCGAGUCUUAAGGGAGGUGAGUCUUGAGCAGAUGCAAAACCCAAGCGUGUUACAUCAGAGAAAAGCUUCCUUUCACUCGCUGGUGGACUGGUGGACGGCCCAGCGUUGUUUCCCAGGGCUUCAGUGCAAAGAGACAUCAAAAUCAGCACCAACAAGAAUGAACCAAAUCUCAGAUGUGCGUAAUAAAGCAGAUGAGAAAAUGGGCAACAGACAAAUGCAAUCAGAAAACUGUGAUAUUAAGGAUAUCAAGAACAAGCAGGGACACCAUCCGAAGUUCAGUAAAUUUACCUUCAAAGUCAUCCAGAGAGAACAUGACAUCGUUGUGACUUUGAGAGGAAUUUGUAUACUCAAAUCGCAUAGCUGAUGCCUGAACAGCAGCAGCAACUUCCGCCUUCACUCUCUCACUUUCUUCCUACAAAACAGAGGAAACAUGUGAAAAGGAGCCAGAACAUGCCACACACAACUACAUAAGCAACAUGGAAAGCAAACCAUGAAAACUCAAUGGCUCUUGUAUAAUUGAAUGAUCUACUCAUACUGUAUUUGGAUUCCAAUUGCAUCUAAAUUUUCAGAAAUGGCUUGGUCCAAAUUAACCAAUUAGGUAAUCAAUUUGUAGGUGAUAAGCAUUGUGAAUUAGAGUUGCGAGUUAUAUUAUGCCUGAUGAUUCUGCGUGCAUCCUUGCUAGACAUAUACUAGGUUCCACGUGCCUCUUUAAAAAUUGACUAGCUGUCAAAACCAGUUGUAAAAGGCUUCACCAUCCCCCAAUGGGAUUCUUCCCAUUCGAUCCAGUUGCAGUCAAUGAUGCAAGUGGGGUGGCAGCGGUCAGCCCUCCCCACGUCCGCAUGAGCUUCGAGAGCUUUUUCAGACACAUGCAGAAGCUCAAGCAGCACCGAAUGUUUCUGCAGGUUUAUGUGGCAGCCUGCACAGCGCCGCAUUGCUGAUGCAACUUCACUCGUGUCCCCCUUGCCGCUGACUGCAAACGCAACCCACCCAUGGCCAACGAAGUGGCCUCCUACCCCUUGUGUGGAUGCUCAUGUGCAUGAAGGUCUUGGUUCUGGUCCGUGCAGAGCAGGUAGCCCGAGCCUCAUUUUGUUCUGGCUGUCCAGGAGAUCAGCCUGCCUAGUAGCCUUGGGUUUGGCAACGCCACAACCGCCAUCCUGCUCCACCUGUGUCGUAGCCAUGGAUAACGACGAGCCGGCCAAGGCCAUCCAACGAUGGAUGUGGUGCCGUACUAUGAAUGUCCAGAGGUGAAAAAUUCUUGCAGAUGAAAGUCGAGACGAGAACACGGUCCUUCUCAACAAUUAGGCUCCACGGCUGCAUUCGUGUUCCGGAGCGCACAUGAGGAUGGCAGCGCAGAUGACGCCUCCAACAAGAACAUCAACCCCGCGGCCACCGCUGCUAUGGAGGAUGACAGGAGGGAGCGCACACUGAGGCAGGGGAGGCCCGCACGCUUGAAGGAGGAUUGUGUGUUCAGCGUCUAGGGGCAGAUUGGCAGCUCCUCGGUUUUCCUCCUCCUUUCUGCCUUCGUAGAUCGCAAUAGCACGCUCCUUUAGCCCUGCGCAUUCCCGCGACACCAUUGGGCCAAGUGGACGAUGGGCGUCGAGCCGCUCCUGUUUUACAGGCUCGUGGCACAGGUCUACGAGGGCUUGAGGCACAGUAGCCCAGUAGGUUAGCAGGUUUGGCCUGCGCUGCUUGCAUUCCUAGUUGCAGUUGCCAUGCUACUUUUGGGAAAGAACCAACAAAUAUAAGACAACCAAGCAAUAUAAGGAAUAAGUUUUCCAAGUAGCGCCUCCAAGUCCCGGGUUCGAUUCCCCUCGGGGGCAAAUUUUCCGGCUUGGUUUAAAAAAAUCCCCCCGUUGUACCCCAUCCGCUCUCGGGCUACGAUGUCCUGUGUGCCACCCUCCAGUUAGGCCAUUGCAGAGUGGACGGUCGACAUCGGCCCGUUAGUGAUGGAGGGCAGGUUUCGGGGAUUUUUCACAGCCGGGCCAUUGUUUCGGUCUCUUCUUUGUAUUAUACCGGGAGGGCGGUCUUUCCUUCUGUCAUAGACCUUCGGUCCAUGGGGAUAGCUGUCUUCUCCGGCGAGGUUAUACCCCUCUGCCGCAGGCUUGGUUCUAGGGUAGCAGCCCUAGGCGCUUGAGAGGGUCAUUGCAAGGGAGAGAGAUUGGUUUGUUAAUGAUCUUGCUUGAUUUAUUCUCUGCUGCCAUGCGGCUUAUAAAUAGCCCUAUGGCUAACCAACUUCUCCUACAAACUCUCAACUAACUCCUACUUUCUUGGACUUAUCUGAUGCUAACAAACUCUCCACAAUUCUCUCAUUUCAAUCUUAUUCUCUAACCUUAUCCCAGCUCAUCUCAAUCUUAUUCUCUAGCCUUAUCCCAGCCUGGUUGUUGCCUCUCGCUCCCUAUUAUGUCCAUGACAUCUCCCCCUCCCUUGAGGACCAACUCGUCCUCGAGCUGCCAUAGACUUACCUGACACGACUUAAGGUUAAGUCUUUUACAUCUCGGCUUACCUUUAUUAUUUAAGACGAAAAUACAAAAUAAUUGUGGAACUAAAAUAUAAAUUUGAACUGCAGCUAUGUCCUCCUGUCCUCCUGGAUCCCAAGGAAAGAGCUGAACUGCGGACUUCACGUUGGAUGAAAGGUGGAGGAACCAGCCCGUUCUUAUGUUGGGUCUGUCCAGCACCAAGGCAGUUGCCCGAAUGAAGGAGACGACCCUCUUUGGCCGUGCAGGGGGGCUGCAUACCCAGAUCUCAACUUCUGCAGGGGGUUCAAAAAGUAUAGACGAGACCUGGUGGUUGGGCGCGCAGGCUGCGAGUUGGUGCAGGUGCAGCGAUGAGCUGAUCAGCAAGUGCAGCUUCCGCACCGCCCGCCUAACAAGGAAGCCGCGCACUGCGGCUUGCAGGCGCACCACGGCCUGCUCAUGUGAUGACGGCCAUGGGGUGGCCCUGGAGGCCACAACAAGGUGCUUCUCCCCACGAAGGAACUGUACCUGGCGGCGUGCCAGGAACCCUCGCGCUGCCGCCUGAAGCCGCACCGCUGCUUGGAGUUCCUUCUCUGUCUUCUCCUUGUAGCGGUGGAACAUCACAACGAAUUGAUCCCACUUCUCUUCGAGCCGAGUGAAUGCAUCUAGAGUUGGAGAGGGCGGGUGGGAGGGCGUUGCGGCGGCAGAUGGCGCGGCGGCUGGUGGUGGUGAGGGAUGGGCGGCUAGUGGUGGUGAGGAUAACCUGGAGCUGAUACUAGGUGAGGGAUGGGCGGCUGGUGGUGGUGAGGAUAACCUAGAGCUGAUACCAGGUGUCAUGGACCUUCGGUCCAUGGGGAUAGCUGUCUUCUCCGGCGAGGUUAUACCCCUCUGCCGCAGGCUUGGUUCUAGGGUAGCAGCCCUAGGCGCUUGAGAGGGUCAUUGCAAGGGAGAGAGAUUGGUUUGUUAAUGAUCUUGCUUGAUUUAUUCUCUGCUGCCAUGCGGCUUAUAAAUAGCCCUAUGGCUAACCAACUUCUCCUACAAACUCUCAACUAACUCCUACUUUCUUGGACUUAUCUGAUGCUAACAAACUCUCCACAAUUCUCUCAUUUCAAUCUUAUUCUCUAACCUUAUCCCAGCUCAUCUCAAUCUUAUUCUCUAGCCUUAUCCCAGCCUGGCUGUUGCCUCUCGCUCCCUAUUAUGUCCAUGACAUCUUCCACGGCCGAGUUUUUUUAGUUUUGCUUUUAGACAUUGUACAGACAUCAUUGUUAAGCAAUGAGAAAGCAAAUAUACAAAUGCCUAAUACCCCGUUUGGAUGUAGAUAUUCAAGACUAGAAUUGGGAAUUGGAAUCAGGAUUUCUGAAUUCUACUAUUUGGUUGUCUAAUGAAUUCAGAGCUGGAAUUAAAGAUCAAUUUCUUGGAAUUGGACUUUAACUAAAAAGUGUCUCUCACGAUUCAGAGCCAAGACUCUAGGUAUUGGAUGGAAUUGCAAUUACACAUACAUCCAGACAACAUAUUUGUAUUGAAACCCAUUUCCAAUACUAGACAAAUUUGGUAUUGGAUCUAAUUCAAUUCUAACAUCUCAAAUAUCUACAUCCAAACGGACCCUAAUAUUCAUCAACUAUCUUUAACAGUUACCCAAUUCAGGAGAUCUAGCAAAUCCGAAGUGGUUGACUGCUACAUAGCACAGGCAAAUCAAAGUGACAUUCUUUAGAAUGAUCAUCAGAUUUUUCAGAUACGGUUCCCCAAAACCUGGCCGCUUUCACGAUUGAACAGUUUCAAGCCAUUUAUAUCAUGGCUCCUAGGACGAUCCAUAUUUCGGACCUCAAGAAACUUUAGUUUGCAAUUUUUGUAAACUAAAAUCUGCAAUUGGCUGCUCUCCGCCAGAUAACCUGGUGGUUUUGACCCCCAGUCUGUACUACCCUAAUGCACAUGAUAGUUCUGAUGAGUUCUGAAUGGCUCAACAAACUAAUGUGCAAUGCAGCAAACAAACUUGUUACCUACCUUCUUGGCGGCUCGUUUUCUUUGUUUCUCACGCUUCUUGAUUUCAUCCAAGAAUGGAGCCAGUGAGUUAGGAGACACUACAUCACUCAAGUCAAUUUCACAGAACUGCAUAAUGUGUCAAAUGUGAGGCAUGGUCAUUGGCCAAGAGCAAAAGUUGAUCUUCACACCAACUUGACCUGCAUGUGGCCUGCCAAUAAGAAUACCAAAAUUACCUGAAAUGUAGUUGUUAAUGAGAAGUGACUCAAAAACCGAUAGCGCUUCCUUAUAGCCUCAGACUGUGUUACAGUUUCCAGCUCCAAUAUUUUGGCAGUUAUUCUGUGUGUACAAAUUAGCGAAGUUAGUAACAUCAAAGUGAUUCAAACACCAAUAAAAAACAGCAACAGCAUUACAGUGUCAAAAGAUACUUGCAUUGUGGUAGCAUUUCAAACUAGUUUUUAUUCAAAGACAAUAUGGGUCUGCAACAGAAAAAAAAUCUUCCACAAAGGGUGUGGCACAAAAACUAAUCCUAGAGCUACUUGGUAAACAAUGGCUGCAGAAAAAAUGACUUGAAACAGGUAUGGUGGAUUGAGAUAAUUGAUACUACCUCCGGUCAAAAAUACUUGUUGCAUUUGACCUUGCAAUGCCUUUGAUGCAUAUCUUUGAUCACUAAUUUCUUCUAGUAAAUAUUUUUAAAAUCCUUCAAGUCUGAUAUUUUGCAAGUCUACUUGAAUACAAAACUACACAUAAAUCUUACGUGUUUCCACCAACAGAUCCACCAUGCAGCGACCCAGGGUGGUCGCCGGCUCGCCGGAUCAAAAAAAAUGUUUCUUCUAUAAAGGAUAAGCAUAUAAUGUUGUAGGUAAGUACUCUUGUAUAGUGAGGACCAACCAGACUCCAAGAAAUUCCUGAAUCCAUCACUUAAUGUUUCCAAUUAAAUAAUGAGAAAAUUGUGGAUAUUUGUACUUCUUAUUAAGGUAUGACCAAAUCUUGUCCUAAACAACAUGUUUUUAUGUCAGGAGGGAGUAAUUGGCUUAAGGCAACUAAAAUCGCACACUCGAUUUAACAAUUAGCACAUUUGUGAGAACCCAAUCACAAAACAUCUUUAAUUGGACCAAAUGCUGAAAAUAAAUAUGCAAACAUCAAGCCCUUCCAGUAACCUAAUUGUCACAGGCUCACAGGUCAACUGUAGCUGCAGAGUACAACAUGCCUCACAUGUUGCAUGUAGGCAUUAUCUGUGCUCUUGGACAUUCAGGUAAAUUGUGGUGCUAGAAGCACAUAAGGGCAUACCAAUAUUGCUAGAAGCAAAUAAGGGCAUUUUAAGUUGGUAUCUUGAUGUCCUUAUUCCUUAAAUAGAAUGCAAGUUACACUACCAUAAUAGAAUUGCACUUGCACGGCAACAACAAAAUAGUGUGUAAAGAAGGGAUGAUAGAACUCGAACUUUCAGAGAAGAAGCAAAGAUCAUAUUACCUAGGUGGAAGCAUAUCAGAACCUCCAAAAUGGUUUAGAAGACAUCUCAUGUUUAGUGGAUGGAGAAUUAGGUGUUGGCCAUCUGACACCUGCAACAAUAUUUAAAACCAUCGGGAACUCUGAAUAUGUGAAACCACAACAUGAAAAAUUCAUCAGCAUCAAAAGCUUGAAAAUCUCAGACCUGGUAAAAUGUGUAUGGGUCAUGUUCAUUUGAAUCAAUGGUUGUGGUACAUUUCUCAUUUACUUUAGAUAUUGUUCCUUUACCAGAGGUUUUACUCAACUCGGGAGACAUGGAGAGUUCUGAAAUACCAUUGACCAUAUCUCUAUCUGAAAGAGAGAUCUUGUGCUCACUCAUCUGCUGAGAAGUAUUCACAUCAAAAGAGUUCCUAGACUUGAAACUAGAUCCAGGAGAGAAGCUAUCUUUUGAUGGAGGACUACCACCAUAAUUUCUGUAAUCAAUCCAAUAUUUCGUCUUCUCUUCCAGUUGCUCCAAAGCAGCAGAAACAAAUGGAAGUUUCUCCAAGUCAUCAACAAGGCCUAAGUCAGCCAUAUGCAACCAAUUACUAAGAUCCAAUUUUGCAUCUCGAACAGACAACUCCACAUCAGAUGUCAAAAUAAACUUUGAGAAAACAUUAUAAUGCUCUUCAUCUGUUGUAGAACUUUCACUGGAGGAGCUUUUGAUGGAAGGAGUGAGCGAAUUUCUUGACCUGCUCAGAAGUGUAAAUGUGACAACGUCACCAGCACGGACAUUCUGGACUUGAGUAAUUUGUAUUGUAUACAAAUCCUUUGAUGAUAUCAUCAUGAAACACAGAGGACACUUCUUCCAACACUCACCUCUAUAAUCAUCUUUGCCCAUCAUUAGAUAACGUAAAAUGCAUGGAAAGCAAUAUAUGUGUCCGCAUGAUGUGAUCUGUGGGCACAAUGGUCUUUCCAAGCAAAUAGGGCAUUGUACCUCAGAAGGGCUAUAGUAUCUUACACAGAUAAUAUCUUCCCACUGAAGCAUCUUAUCAGGAUCCAUUGAAUCAAUCUGGUAAUUCCCAGUAUCCAAUACAACAAACUUAUAGUUUGCUUGGAUGAACAGAUCCUUGUUGUAAGGUUUUAUCUUCCUUUGUCUUCUCGGAAGAUAUGUUCUAGGGCCUCUGGGCUGUGGCCGAGAAAUAGGAUCAUACUGGAAAUUCAGUAGGUGAUUAGCAUUCACGGUCUGAUUCUUCCUGGCAGCUAUCUGAGUCCCAUUACCCAGUCCAGUAGAACCUGAAGCCAAAUGGUCAGCCUGAAGGGAUCCCACCAUUUUAGGUCUCUCAGGAUAUGACCCAACUGAGCCAAAAUUAUCUACAGGCAAACCGGAAUCCCCCUGUUCUGAAGAGUGGCAUUCUGAAACAUUGCCAACCUCUUGUGUACAUGUAUCAUUCUCUUCCCCAGAUAUUAUAAAUCCAACUACCUGGAAGUUAUUGCAUUUUAUCAACGUGUUAAGAGCUGAAACCGGAGUUUUUAACACUAAUGUGGAAAGAAAAGAUGAAAAUGGCAAUAAGCUCCACAAGCACUUCACCUUUUCGGGAGCAUUAAUAGAUUCUCCAAUAGCUGGAACCACUGGGUCUGCAGAAUAUGAAUUGCAUUGUAAAGAUUACUCUGAAAACAGGAGGGCUAAAAAUGGCGUGGCAUCACCAAUGAGAAUGCAACAUGAAGUUAUGCACACAACUAGUCUAACGAGCAGAUAAUGAAAAGCUGACUUAAGAUCUUAAUAACAACCAGGUAGUUAAAGUGAAAUAACGAGUAUAACUACACAACAGCAUGUACAGAGCAACUUAAUUGAAAAUUAACAAGCAAAUCAAAGGCGAGUAUCUCCAUGGCCAUUGGAAUAUGCACUUCCAAUAUUAGUACUACACUGGGAGAUGUCCAUAUGAAAAUUAAUUGUUUAAAGUUCAAAAUGCUAGCACUAGAGCUUCAGUAGCAUAUUUUUUCACUAGCUCUAAAAGAACCAAGUGUAGGGUAAAAAAAAACUUAUCAAUUAAAAGUCACUGCUGAUCUAACUAUAAGACAUUCAUUUUUAUGAAAAAAAUGUAUCUUGAAUCAGAUAAGCAUUGAAUAUGAAUUUCAGCCAACUAUCGCUGAUACACAAAAUAUGGUCAGAUUUAAACAUCUAGAUGUAGAUGUGCCCUAGAUAAUCUUAUUCUUGAUGCAAUGUAUUGAAUCAUUGUCAUACAUAGAGUUAGGCACGCAGAUUAAGACCAUAUUGUACACUAAAAACAGUGUGUGGCCAUCACAUAUACAUGAAGAAACAAUGGUUACGAUGAAAUCUAAAUUAUAUCGCUACUGUAUUUUUGGCUGGAUAGAACUGAGCCAAACGAAAAAUACUAUCACCUGGGUGACUGAAUCUAUCAUAUACUUUCACCCUCCAACACAAUAAACAGAAACUCAGCAAAUGUUUUGCAUCCAAAUUUAAUCAAACCUAAUAGUAGAAAACAUUCAGAAACUACAUUUAACUGACGUGCUUGACCAAGCCUAAUCCCACGAGCAUUUAUGCACACAAAAUCUAGCACCACCCAGACUAUCAAAUCAUUCUCAGCUCAGCAUAACACCUACUCCAUCCAUCCUAGAAAGAGUGCCAUCCUCACAUUCCGAUAAGUCAAACACUUUCAAAUUUAACCAAAUAUAUAUAAGAAAAUAUUAAUAGUUAGGGUGCAUAAUUAGUAUCAUUAGAUGAAUCGUUGAAUAUAUUUUCAUGAUACACUUAAUUAAAAUACAAAUGGUGUUAAUAUUUCACGAGCACGAAUCCCAUAGUGACACACUUUUUGGACGGAGGGAGUAGAAUCCAUGGCCAAUCAGGCAAUCACAUGAUUUAAGCGGCUGAAAAUAUCAGUCCCUAAUGCGCAAAGAGAACGCUGUAAACUUGCUAGGGGGCACAAAUCCCUUCGAAGCUUGUGCUUAGCCAAACAACGCACGUAAUCCAAACAGCACCACAGCAGCUGGUAGUUUUCAAAGUAACAACCAGAUCCAACCCCAUCGGGAAUCGUUCAAUCGAUCUACGGGCGAAGGGGGACGAGUGGAAAGGAAAACUCACUGGAGCUCGAGCCGACCCCGCCGUCGCUAGCUUCCGCAGCGGCGCCGGGUGGCGAGACGGAUGCCGGAGGGGAGCGGCGGCCGUGGCGGCGUCUGUCGCUGCCAUGUUGGGGACUAGGGCUAGGGUUGUGCGGGCGCGGGUAAUAGGCUCCUCCGGUGCGUUCGUGUGGAGAGAUGGACAUGAACCCGCGCGGGAGCUCGUGGGGUGGGUGAGCGGCGCUCGGUCGAACGGCGGCGACGGAGAGGGCGGUGGCGCGGGGAAAGGGACAGGGUGGCGUGGGGUUAAUACGGUCGAUGCGUGGUAGGAUCGCCGGUUGGCGUGGCGAUGGGCAGGCAAGGCCGGGCUCACGUAGACCAACCCACGUGUAGGAUGAUAACGGGCGAAGAAAAAAUGCGCGGCCCAGACGUCAGUUACGUGGUGUUGGGAAAUAUUAUGGACUGCGUUCAUGCAAUAUGGAGGAAGAUGGGAUUUCAGGGCAGAAGUAGAAAGGAUAUGCGGUUAACGAAGUCCGCGUGGAUGAUGUGGUAUUUUUUUAAAAAAAUAAUAUCUUAAAAAUAAAAGUAAUGUGUCUUAAGAAAAUAUAGUUAUUUUGACUUUAUCCAGCGAAAGUCACUAGUACAACAUAAACAUAAGUAAAUUGUACAAGAGUCCCACUCCCAACUUGUAAGGGGCCGGUAUGCAUGCCCUGUGUUAGUACCACCUCGCCUAGCCAAGGGGGCCGUGUUGCACUUAUAAGGGCGGGCCUCCCUCCUCUCUCAGCCUAGGUUUUGAGAGCGAGGUGCCUGUCUGAAUAGGCUGCGCGCGAGCGCAUGAACGCCCGACGCUGGUGAUGGUGGGCUUUGGCGGACUGGCCCAGUGGGUGCGUUACAAAUGGUAUCGGAGCCCACAUUGCCGCUGCUGCCUGGGAGAGCUUUGGGCCUCUUAGGGGGGUGGGAUGUAAGGGGCCGGUAUGCAUGCCCUGGGUUAGUACCACCUCGCCUAGCCAAGGGGGCCGUGUUGCACUUAUAAGGGCGGGCCUCCCUCCUCUCUCAGCCUAGGUUUUGAGAGCGAGGUGCCUGUCUGAAUAGGCUGCGCGCGAGCGCAUGAACGCCCGACGCUGGUGAUGGUGGGCUUUGGCGGACUGGCCCAGUGGGUGCGUUACAAAUGUCAGCAGCUCUAGGUGCUAUACAAAAGUUAAGGAUGGUAGCUCCGGAUGUUCUACGGAAGCCAAGCCAUGCAAGACGAGGAGAAGCAGGCUUCUGAAGCUGUUGAAAGAGGGAAGCUGAGAAGAGUAGCCGAGAGACUAAGCCCAACAAGAAGUAUAUUGGUGUCAAUAGGCUGUAAUAGGGCCCACAUAUUUGUUAGCUAUAAAAGAGGGAAAACUGCUCGUCUGUAACCUGGCUUUUGGCUAACGAUGAACUUGGAAAGGAAGAUAGAACAUAGAACUGAUUCCUGAGUGUCUGGUGAGUCUUGUGAGAGGGUGUUGUUAACAUUUGGUAUCAGAGCUGGUUCUUCCACACCGUCGCAAACCAAUUUCAGGCGAGAAUUGGAACUAUGGCGUGGCCGAGCCUCGAAGAUCCGAUGGCGCAGCUGAUGGCGAAAAUCGAGGAAGGAAAUUGAGGGAUUCAUCGGUGUAUGGACUCGAUGCAGUCUGCUAUGGAGAAGAUGGAGAUCACGCUCAAGGGUUUGCUGACAUAUCAGAGCGACUUCGAGAAGGGGAGGCCAGGAAUCGAAGCGGAGGAGGUGGGGAUGAUGGAAGCACCAAAGUCCGUUCAGAAUCUGGUGGCGAACGCCAUAUCGGCGCGCGUCAUCUCCAUUGAGAAGGAUGGCUCCGUCUCCGACACGCCAGCAACGUCCAUGCCUUCUCCGGCCUCAGAUCCGCGGCAUGAUACCAGCUUCACCACCACACGCACGUGUCUGGGCACAGACCAUGCUGUCACCGCCGCGAGCAGGCGCGCCGGUGCGGGCCACGUCGCGAGUGAACGCACGAGAGGGCGCCACCGUCGCCCCCAGCCGUGCGGACGAGCAAGCGCCCCUGCCGCCGUCGCGGGCACACGCGGACCGUCGCCGCCGCCGCGUAGGCGAGCGUGCGCGGGCCGUCGCCGCUACACAGGUAGCACCGAACCGUGCCCCGUCCAGGCGCCCCUGUCGCCAUCGCGCAGGCGAGCGCAAGCGGGUCGCCGUCACCGCCGCCACAUUGACUCCCUGAAGUGGUGUCUGGUUAUUGAAGCGAAGGGGGUGGAGAUGGCAGAAGCACUAACGAACAUCCGGAAUCAGGCGAACAACGUGGCGCGGAAGGCACUCGGAGUUCCUCUUUCCAUUUCGGUGGUGGCACGCUCCUCGAUGUCGAUUCCUCUGGUAACUACGUCGAGCGGAGCGACAACUGGACCAAUUAUCCAACAAAUCGCUGAUCCUUAUCAACAACCAGCUACUGAUUUGAAUGCAACCCGAAUCCCUAUUCUAGUGGAAGAUGUGGUGACCGAGUUCAUCAAUGGGUUGGUGGAUAUUUACCCAGAUCUGCAGUACCUCGAAGAGUUCCCUCAGAUUAAGGUCGUUCAUCGUGUUGAGGUCGAGCACAGUUCCUAUGACAAAGUUGCAGUCAUCUCAGGUGGUCAAAGUGGCCAUGAACCUGCCCAUGCUGGAUUUGUUGGUCCUGGAAUGCUGACCGCUGCUGUCUCUAGAGAGGUCUUCACUUCUCUACCUGUUGAUUCUAUUUUAGCCAUUGUUCGAGCUGUAACUGGUUCCAAGGGGUGCUACACGGAUGCAAAGAUGUGUGAAGUCGUGACGAGGCCCUGCGUCAGGGGAGGGAUGCAUAGUGACGCUGUCAGGGUGUUCGGUGAAAUGACCGGCGCCUGGGUCAAGCCCGACGAACACGUUUAUGCCACCACAAUCACAUGUUUGGGCAGGCUACAUGAUGCAGAUCAUGCACUUCAGGUACUGGAAAAGAUGAGGGAGGCAUGGGUCGAGCUGUGGGAGUUAACAUGCAAUUCUAUGGUGGGUGUGCUUGUGAAGGUGGGAAGGAUGGAUGAGAUAUUGCAUCUAAAGGAUCAGAUGAUGCUGGCUAAGGAGAAGAUGGAUGUGGUUCUCGCGAGAAUGUUGAUGCACGUGUACUAUUUGAGUGGAGAAGUUGGGAAAACAUUAGAAUUGUUUGAUGUGGUUGCCAGUGAUGGUGUGACACUGUCCAAUGUGGCAUAUGGGGUGAUGAACAAAGGUUGUGAAGAAGAGGGGAUGACAGAUGAGAUAUAUAAGCUAUGCACAUAUGAGUUCAAUUUGGUGAUCAGAGGCCUCUUGAGAAACAAACAGUGGAAAGUUGACAUUGACUUACUUGAACUUAUGGUUGAUACUUGGGUACCACAUUUCUUCACUUACAGUUGUCUAAUUCAUUGGCUCUACAAGCAUCACAAACUCUGCGAGGCAGUCAGCUUAUGGGAUAAGAUGACGGAAGCAGGGGUCAACCCUUCUAUUGUGACAUACCACACCCUAAUGUUGGGGUACUGUCAGAAAGGGUGCAGAGAUAAAGCACUCAAGUUAUACUCUGAGAGGCUUGAUGAAGGAUUCCCAUCUAAUGAGGCCAGUUACCUUAAGUUGAUGAAAGGGUAUAUCAAGAAGAAAACUGUUGACAAGGCCUAUGCCCUUCUUAAUGAAAUGCGUCAGAAUGGAGCUCUCGACGAGGGUUUUAAGCAGGCAAAAUCUGAAGGCUAUAAUAUGGAGAUGGUCGUUGCUGGAGCUGGUUGUGUUUUUUCCCCACCUAGAGGAAUAGCAGGUAGAAGAGGUUCAGCUAGAACAAUUAUUGUGCAUAAAGUUGCUGAAGAAGCAAAACCUGCAUUUGAAGUUGACGUUACGAUGGGAGUUGCACUUUCUGUUUGCACAUUGCCAGAGCAAGUUACUUCUGGGAGUUUGGGUCAAAGGCAACUGGAGCUUGGCCUUAGAAUCCAUGGAGAACUUGGUGUUGCUGUUGUUGAACUCCAGUCAGUUGAUAUAGUAGCAGAACAUGUUCUUAAGCAGAUAGUGUCACGAGAAACUCAGUAUCUUCCUAACACAAGGGGUUGCAAUGAUGUUCUCCUAGUGAAUGGAUUAGGCGCCACUCCUAUCAUGGAACUUAUGAUUGCAGCAGUUCCUGAGUUGCAAUUGGUGUAUGACAUUGCUAUUGACAGGGUCUACACUGGCACAUUAUUGACAUCACUGGAUAUGGCAGGAUUAUCCAUUACCGUUAUGAAGUCUGACCAAAGUAUUUUGAGGAGACUUGAUGUUCUCACUAAAGCUCUAGCUUGGCCAGUUGGUUAUGAAGGAACUCGUCCACCAGCAAAGCUUCAUGUUCCUCUAGCACCAUCACCAUCAAUGAAGGAUGACGAGAUUCUUGCUCCAUCUCAAGAGCUGAGCAAGCAGUUCUUGAUGUUUCAUAUGCACCAGCAAAGUUUUCCAUGUGUACCAACUUGGGGACAAGUUGGAUCUCUAGGAGGGGGAAAUGUCAGCAGCUCUAGGUGCUAUACAAAAGUUAAGGAUGGUAGCUCCGGAUGUUCUACGGAAGCCAAGCCAUGCAAGACGAGGAGAAGCAGGCUUCUGAAGCUGUUGAAAGAGGGAAGCUGAGAAGAGUAGCCGAGAGACUAAGCCCAACAAGAAGUAUAUUGGUGUCAAUAGGCUGUAAUAGGGCCCACAUAUUUGUUAGCUAUAAAAGAGGGAAAACUGCUCGUCUGUAACCUGGCUUUUGGCUAACGAUGAACUUGGAAAGGAAGAUAGAACAUAGAACUGAUUCCUGAGUGUCUGGUGAGUCUUGUGAGAGGG
rnacentral:lncRNA from 1 species